AAUUAUGAGUUACUUCAGGAGAAAAUUGUUGCAAAGUGUAGGGGAUUGCCUUUGGCUGCGAGUACCCUCGGUGGUGUUCUACUUCGUAAAGAAAUAGACAAAUGGGAAGAAAUAUUGAACAACAAGUUGUGGAGUGUCUCAAAUGAGCAUGACAUACUUCCUGUGUUGAGACUAAGUUACUUUUAUCUUCCUUCACAUUUGAAAAGAUGCUUUGCCUAUUGCUCAAUACUUCCAAAUGACUAUGAAUUCGGGGAUAUGCAAAUGAUCCUUCUGUGGAUGGCCGAGGGUUUGAUUCUUUCUCGACCAGAAGAUAAUAAGCAAAUUGAAGAUUUAGGCGCUGAUUAUUUCCGGGAGCUCGUAUCUAGGUCAUUGUUUCAAAAGUCAACCAAAAAUACUUCAAAAUAUGUGAUGCAUGACCUCAUUGGUGAUUUAGCAAGAUGGGCAGCUGGAGAUAUUUGUUUUAGAUUGGAGGAUAAGCAAAAUGAUGAUGGUGUACAACUUAGAUGUUUUCCAAAGGCACGCCAUUCGUCUUACUUUAUGGGUCACUAUGAUGGGGCUAAAAGAUUUAAGGCAUUUUCUAAAGUGAAAUGUCUGCGAACCUUCUUGCCACUAAGAAAGGGUUCUGGCUACAAUUACUUAAGCCAUCAGGUUACUUCUGAUUUAUUGCCAAAAUUGCAGUACUUGCGGGUGCUCUCUUUUAAUGGCUAUAGAAUAACUGAGCUGCCAAACUCAAUUGGUGAUUUGAGAUAUCUACGAUAUCUUGACCUUUCCUACACAGCUAUAACUAGUUUGCCUAAAUCAAUCAGUACUCUUUACAACUUGCAAACAUUGUUAUUGGAACGCUGUUCCUAUUUGAAGUCAUUGCCUGCAGACAUAAGUAAUCUAAUUAAUUUGCGCCAUCUCAACAACUCAGAUGUAUCUUGGGUGGAAGGAAUGCCUCCAAAACUAGGUAGAUUGGUGAACCUCCAAUCUUUGCCUAAUUUUGUGGUCAGUGGUAGAAGUGAUCAAUCAGGAAUAAGAGAGAUAGGGCCUCUAUCGCAUCUCCGAGGGACAUUGUGCAUAUCAGGAUUGGAGAAUGUGACUGAUGUCAAGGAUGCUCAGAGGGCCAAUUUAAAAUACAAGGCGAGGCUUGAUUCGUUGGUCCUAAAAUGGUCUUAUUCAAGCGACACAAGAGAAAUGGAAUCUGCUGUGCUUGACAUGUUAGAGCCUCAUAGAAAGAUCAAGGAGCUCACCAUCAAGAGUUAUGCCGGAAAGGAAUUUUCAUCAUGGGUUGGAGGUCAUUUGUUCUCUAAUAUGGUGCUUGUGCGCUUAGAGGAAUGUAACAAUUGUUUAUCUUUGCCACCUCUUGGACAAUUGCCUCAACUCAAAGAACUUUAUAUUAGAGGAAUGAAUGCAGUGGAAAGUGUUGGUGCUGAGUUUUAUGGAGAGCGUUACUUGCCUUUUCAGGUAUUAGAGACUCUUGAGUUUGUGGAAAUGCAGCAUUGGAAAGAAUGGCUUCCUUUCCAACUGGAUCACGAAAGUGGUGUUUUCCCUUACCUGAAAACACUCAUAGUAAAAAAAUGUUCUAAACUGGAGGGUAAGCUGCCAGAGAACCUCAAUUCUUUAGGUAAGCUUGAAAUUGUUGAAUGUGAAGAAUUAGUGGUUUCGACUGCCAACUACAAACAACUUCGUCAAUUAAACAUUGACGGUUGUGAAGUGUUGGUGCAUACAGCUGCUAAGGUUGAGUUUGAGUUAUUAGAGUCCUUGUGGCUUUCAAGCAUUUCAGAGGUGAUGUCUCUACAAACAGGAGAAUUGUUCAACAAGGGAUUAAGCAAGGUUAAAGAUUUGAAGAUUAAUGGAUGUGAGGAGGUGACGUCUUCAUUCAGGAAUGAGGCUAGAUUAUUGCAGCAGUUGACUUCUCUUGGCUGUUUGGAAAUUGAAGGCAACUCUCUUCUAGUUGAAGAAUUGGGAAAGGAAGCAGAGGAGUUGCAAACAUUGGAGUGCAGGAUUGAAUGUCUGGAGUUAAACAAGUGCGAAAAUCUUAUGAAGCUACCAAAAGGGUUAAAUCAAUUGUCGUUUCUUCAAAAGCUUGGCAUACACGAAUGUUCACGUCUAGUUUCUUUCCCAGAUGUUGGUCUGCCACCUUCUCUUAAAGACAUCGAGAUUACAUCGUGUGAUUCGUUGAUAUAUUUUGCAAAAUUCCAGAUUCCCCAAAAUCUCAGAAGAAUAGAGAUAAGAGAGUGCAAAAGUUUGAAAUCACUAGUAGAGGAUGAGGCUUUUGGUUCUUCCUGGUCGUCUUCUUCUCAUAGUUGUCUUGAGUACUUGUUUAUCGAUGGAUGUAAAACUCUGACGUCGUUAUCAUUGAGUGGCCAGCUUCUCAGGACACUUAAACACUUUCAGACAUACAGAUGUGAACAACUGGAGUUAAUUGCACAAGAUGGGUUCUUCUACGACAACACUAAUUACUGUCUUGAAUAUUUUAGGAUAUGGAAGUGUGAAAAUCUGAAAUCCUUACCGGAUGGUUUAUGCCACCUCAGCAAUCUUCAAAAGCUACAUAUUCAAGAAUGUGGAAGUCUUGUUUCCAUCCCGAGACUGAGUGGGGGGAAAAGACCCUCCAACCUGAGGGAGAUCGAGAUCAGAAAUUGCGAGAAAUUGGAGGCGUUGCCCGAAGACAUGCACAAUCUCAACUCUCUUGAGGAUUUGAGAAUCGACUACCGUGAAGGUUUGACUUUUCCUCCCAACCUCACAUCACUUACAAUUUGGAAAGUCAAGAGCUGUAAGUCAUUGUGGGUGUUGGAGCGGGGGUUGCACAGACUCACCUCUCUUAGCAAGUUGGGGAUCUAUGGUGAUAACCCGGAUACGGUGUCGUUUCCACCAGACAUGGUCCGCAUGGAGUUGCUCCUCCCUAGAUCUCUCACUCAACUCCAUAUUUGUGGCUUCCCGAAUCUGAAGAAACUGAGCAGCAAGGGCUUUCAAUUCCUCACCUCCCUUCAAUCGCUUACACUAUGGAAUUGUCCAAAGCUAGCAUCCAUUCCAGAGGAGGGUCUGCCUCCUUCACUUACGAAACUUUGGAUCUUUGGGUGUCCUGUGCUAAAAGAGAGAUGCCAACCAGGAAAAGGACGCUACUGGCACAAAAUAUCCCACAUUCCUUCCAUGCAGAUAUAGAUUUUAAGAUGAUUUGAAGCUGAUGGUCGAUUCGAUCCCAUUCUCUAGGUUCAGGUAUCAUCUUCUCAAGGAAUGUUUAAUGCCAUGGUCUUCCCCCCAGAAAGCUUUUGCUGCAUAUCUGAAGGUACUUUUAUGGUUUAAAGCCAUGGUCUUAGUAGCUAUUGCUUUGGCAUUUUUGGCUAGUCAAUUUUUAGAUACUGCUGGACUAAGUUCCAAUAUGCUCAUUUGCAGUCCUCUUGCCCAGAAACCAUCAAUUAAACAACAGCAGAAUGCGAUAAACUCUAUUCAGUAUACUCUUCAGUAAUAAGAGCUUUUGAUCAAGAAGAGGUAAUGUUUACCUUUAUUCUCAUUUUUCCUUUCCUUGCUCUAAACUACUUUUGUGCUGGCAGUUUGGUUGUUAAAGGAGCAAUUUUCCUUCUGCAAAAUGUAAAAUGCCUGUAGUUACUGCCUAUUGAAACCAAGAUACUUGUAAUAAUUGGUUUUUGUUUCUCGUUGCAGAUUUUCAAAGUCUAUUUGUGGACAGUUUCUUGAGCAGGCGACACCCUUUCAAGCCGAAAUGUAAUUGUUAUCUCAGAUAAUUGGCAGACUGAUUGUAGUUUAGAAGAGUAACAAGUUCCAUUGGCAGAAGGCCAAUUGCCUAAGCUAUUGAGUAAUUUGGUCAGCAUCUCCUGCUGCUUUCUUGUUUCUUUGGCACCGCCACUUCGACUGCCACUGGUUAGUAUAGGGCUUCAUAUCGGAUGGAAGAUGUCUAAGAGGACGCUUUCUCCAAAUAAAAAAAAAAAAGCAUAUCUGAAAACUUUCUGAUACAAAUCACCAACUGGGUAAGCUGAAAGUUUAGAAAUUUCCAAUUGAUUAAGCUCAAAGGUGACAAAUUUCCAAUUGGGUAAGCUCAAAGUUAAAAAAUUGUCAAUUGAGUAAGCUCAUAUUUCACCCCCUUUCCAAUUAAUGAAGGACACUAUAUAACUUCUUACGGAUACAAUUUAUCAAAACGUACCUAUUGUGAUUAAUUACCCUUGUAUUAUUCAAAUGUGAUAUCAAAAUGAUAGCGUACUUACCCUAAAAAAAUUAUUUAUGGCCGUUACACUUUUAGACUAUACACAUGAAUUAGUCAUUCAAAACAUAGGAACAAUUGCCAUGCGUUUUCCUAGUCUGCCAAAUGAUCAACUUUGUCUUCUUGUCCUUUGUGUUGUGUUAAGGUAGUUGUUGUAUUUUUGCCCCCUUUUAUAGAUAAAUGAAGGGCACUACGAACCUUCACAUAUAUAUUAUAAAAUUGAUUAAAAAAAGCAGUUUUAAAAAGCGAAAUUAUAAGUGCCACCAUUUGUCAAAAGAUGUUCACAAUAAGUUUGUGACUAAUUUUCUUUAUAUUAUUCUAAUUUUCUUUAUAUUAUUCAAGAAAUAUAAUAUCAUGAUAACUGUAUAUUGUUUUAGUACCGUUACACUUAAAACUAGGCACAUGAAUCAAUUCUUCAAAACAUAAAAGUUUUUCUAAUUAUUUUUCUUUGAUGCUAAGUUAUUCAUCGCGCAUUAUUGUGUUAUAUUUGAAAUAUUGACUCAAUGAUAAAGUAGAUAAGUGAUACUCGAAAGAAUAUAACUUAUUAACUUUUGUUGUACGUGGAUUGCCAUGAGGAUAGUGGAACUGCAACUUUUCUAGCAUGUGGAAUUCUGACACAAUCGCAAACCUAAUCCUUUUAAAAAUUGUUUGUUUUGUAGCUUUCUUAUCUUUUAUAUUUUGUUUUAGAGAGAUUUUGUCUUUUAUUUUUUUAUCUAUGUAUUUUUUUUUACAAAGAGUAAGGUUUAUGUUUUUUUUUAUAUCAAAAAAAUUCCUUGUACCAUUGAGAUAUUACCAAAAUAAAAUGACAAAAGAUAAAUAAUCUAUAUUAAAUUCAUCUAAAUUAUGGGAAGAACUAGGAUUUAAACCCAAAAUACUGGGGCAAUCCACUUGUAAUAACUUCACUCCAUCAUGAAUCUUACUCAAUUUUCAUUUCUUAAACAUCUAUUCAAGGGAUAGGCUUUUUAGCCAAAAUAGUUUCUGAGAUUUACAUAACUCAUCAUUUUGUUUCUGAGAUUUGAAAUCAAUAUAAGUGGUCUAUAAGAUUGUCUACCAUCAAUCAUUUUGAUUAUUCCGUGAAACAUUAUGUUAAAUAAGGAUCAAAAUGAUAAAAUACAUUUAAUUUAAUAAACAAUAGGCCAAAAUGAUCUGACAAAAAUUAAGAAUAUUUUUGUCAUUUUAUUCUUAUUUAAUGAAUAUUUUUCAUAGAAUAACCAUUAAUGUGGACAAUUUCAAGAAUCAAUUCUAUUAAUUUCAAAUCUUAAAAACCAAAAUAAUGAAUUAUACAAAUUUAAAGAACUAUUUUAACUAAAAAAUCUUCGGGACAUGGUAAGUAUAAGUGUGGAGUUACUGCUCUUGUGACUAAACGAUGGAAAAGCCGAAUCAGGACUCAUGGCGGCGACUUCGGUAAAAUCUAGUGUCGGUAGGGUUAAGAGCUCUUGGGGUGUUUGCCAAUUUCCAAUGCUUUUUCGUGAUCUGCCAAAUCAUCAACUUUGCUUUCUUGUCCUUCCAACUGUGUGGCUCACGAUAAAAGUUGCAUUUUUACUCCUCAUCUUAAAUUAGGAUGUACUUUCAUCAUAUAUUUUAAAAGAAAAACUAAUGAAAAGGUUUUGAAAACUUUGAGUUUUAAUGAUAAGGAUAAAAUAAAGGGUAAAGUAAAUAGUACCAGGAUUGACUUUUUAAUGUAAAAAUAUGAUUUUUCGUUAAAGUGAACAUUACAGAGUGCUUUUCGUUAAAGUUCCCUAUUUUAAAUUCUGUUAUGUAUUUUUAAUUUAACUCUGAUUAAUUUUUAUAUUAAACAUUUUUUUUAAUUUACAAAUUUAAUCAUCUUAACAUUAUUUUUUUUAUUUUUUUAUAACAAAAAUUUAUGACCCAAGGAUAGUAAAGAGGGGAUAACAAAAAUUUUUGCCACAAAGGAUAUAUCAUGGUAAAUUGAAUUAUUGAAGAGCUCUAAAGUCUUUUGCCAUAUGGAAUCUAGAAUUGUUGAUUUUCAUAAGCGAUCAGAUCGAUGGAAACGCGUCCCUUCAUCUUCUUGAUCAUCCGAGAACUUCAAUUAAUUUAGUAAGUUCUUCUUCCAGCUAUAUCUAUAUGGGAAAUCCAUUAUUUAUUCAUUAAAUAUUUCAUUUUCUUCAUCUUAAUUGCAGCUAUAUAUAUAUGGUUUAAUGUUCAACACUUUGUGCAGUCUUAAGCUCGAGAGAUCAAGCUUCCAGGGAACUACUUAAAUCUUAAUUGCACUAAAGUUUUCAACUGAUCCUCGGAAGCAAGUGUCCUCGUGAUCCGACGACUUCCAUGUAAGUUCUUGCUACACAUCCGGUUUUAUAUUCAUUCGAGUUUCGAGUUAUGUAACUUGUCGUGUCCUAAAUUAAUAGUGGUAGUUUAAAAUGUAAACAAUAUAUAAUUUUUGACAUAUCUGAUUGAGCUUCUGUGUACCCAUAUAAUUAGUUUCAUCUGCUUAAAUUGUGCAUUUGUGACUACCAUGUGCUGCUUCUUGUGCUUUGUGCUGUGCGCUCAGGACAAUAGUUUUUUAUUACACAGAGGAAACAGGAGAAGACAAAAUUAUGCCCUGCGACAAUGAAGAGAUAGAGAAAAGAAAGAGGAGGAUUUAUCAUAGCAAAUUGAACUAUUGAAAGCUCUGAAGUCUUUGUCGUCUGGAAUCUGGAUUCUUCGACUCCAAUACGAGAUCAGAUCAGAUCAGAUGCAAUCAAGUCUCUUCGUCUUCAUGAUCAUCUGAAAACUUCAAUUUAAUGCAGUAAGUUCUUCCAAUUAUAUUUAUAUGGGAAAUCCAUUAUUUUUAUUUAAUUAUUUCAUUUUCUUCAUCUUAAUUACAGCUAUAAAUAAUAUAUAUAUUUAUGUGGUUUAAUGGUCAACAGUUUGUGCAGUUUUAAGCUCGAGAGCUCAAGCUUUCAGGGAACUACUCAGUCUUAACUGCGCUAAAGUUUUCAACUUCAACAAAAACUUGAUCCCUGGAAACAAGUGUUCUCUUGAUCUGACGACCUGACGACUUUCACGUAAGUUAUUGCUACGCAUCUGGUCCUCUUACUAGUGUAACGUGUUUCAAGUUGUGUACCGUGUCGGAUUAUAAAUUAAUAAUGUUAUUUUAAAAUGUAACAAAGAUAUGAUUUUGUAGUCUCGAAUUUAUCUUUUGUGCUUUGUCUGUCAAAUUAAGCAAUUUUGAGUAAAACGUAAUUGAACUUAUCAUGUAAUUGAACUAUUUGACAGUAAAACGUAACGUGACUCACAUACCCGAUGGAGCCCGUGUACCCAAAUAAUUAGUUUCAUCUGUUUAAAUUGUGCAGAUGUGACUACUUGUGGGUCUUGAUUGGUAUUUUUUCAACGGAUCAAACUUCCAAUUCAAGAAACUAUGGCGGCAGAGGCUUUUCUUGUGUCAUUCCUCCACUUGCUGGUUGACAAGUUGGCGCGUCGCGACGUCUUGAAGUACUUUGGACUCGUAAAAGGCGUCGAUAAGAAACUGACGGAAUGGAUUGCCACCUUGUCUGCAAUUGGAGCUGUGCUGAUUGACGCGGAGAAAAGGCAACUGGCGGAUGAGAGCAACAUACUGAAGCUCUGGCUCGAUGAUCUCAGGGACUUGGCUUUUGAUGCGGAAGACGUGUUGGAUAAAUAUCAUACUGAAAUGUUGAAACGUCAGAUACAUCAUGCUCAUUCCAGCGCAACAAGCAAAGCAUGGAAAUCAAUUCCUAAUGGUGUUUUCAACUUCAAGAUGAACUCAGACAUACAGAAGAUUACUGAGCGUUUACAAAAGAUAUCUGUACGAAAAGACCAGCUCGGUUUGAAAAUUGAUACUGGGACGUUGACUACAAGGGCACGCCAACACAUACCGCCUAGUUCUAGCCUACCAGAUGGACCUGUGAUUGGAAGGGAGGAGGACAAAAGGAAGAUUGUUGAGCUGCUGUCAAAACAAGAGCAUCGUGCUGUCAAUUUCGAUGUAGUUGCAAUUGUCGGUAUGGCUGGAGUCGGAAAGACAACACUUGCUGGACAAGUACUCAAAGAUAUGGUUGCAACCCAAAUGUUUCAACCAGCCGUUUGGGUGUGCGUAUCUGACAACUUCAACCUUGAAAGAGUGACAAAGCAAAUUCUUCAAUCAAUCACAUCUCGGCAAUAUACCACAGAAGAUUACGAGAAGGUUCAAAAUGAUCUGCAUAAGGAGUUAGCGGGGAAGAAGUUUUUAAUUGUUUUAGACGAUGUUUGGAAAACGUGUAGCUAUGGUGAAUGGAUGAAGCUGCAGUCCCCUUUUCGUGAUGGAGCACAAGGAAGCAAGAUAGUUGUGACAACACGUGAUACAGAUGUUUCAAAAAUGAUGGGAGCUGCCACGCUGGUUCACAAUUUGGUGCCUAUGGAAAAUGAUGUUUGUUUGCAAGUAUUUGAGCAGCAUGCAUUUUUGAAUGCUAACAACAAUAGACCACCAAACUACGAGUUACUUAAGGAGAAAAUUGUUGCAAAGUGUAGGGGAUUGCCUUUGGCCGCGAGGACCCUCGGUGGUGUUCUACUUCGUAAAGAAAUAGACGAAUGGGAAGAAAUAUUGGACAACAAAUUGUGGAGUCUCUCGAAUGAGCAUGACAUACUUCCCGUGUUGAGACUAAGUUACUUUUAUCUUCCUUCACAUUUGAAAAGAUGCUUUGCCUAUUGCUCAAUACUUCCAAAUGACUAUGAAUUCGGGGAGAUGCAAAUGAUCCUUUUGUGGAUGGCCGAGGGUUUGAUUCAUCCUCGACCAGAAGAUAAUAAGCAAAUUGAAGAUUUAGGUGCUGAUUAUUUUCGGGAGCUUGUAUCUAGGUCAUUGUUUCAAAAAUCAACUGCAAAUAUUUCAAGAUAUAUGAUGCAUGACCUCAUUGGUGAUUUAGCACGAUGGGCAGCUGGAGAUAUUUGUUUUAGAUUGGAGGAUAAGCAAAAUGAUGAUGGUGUACAACUUAAUCCGAAGGCACGCCAUUCGUCUUACCUUUUGGGUCAUUGUGAUGGGGUUAAAAGAUUUGAGGCAUUUUCUGAAGUGAAAUGUUUGCGAACCUUCUUGCCACUAAGAAAGGGUUCUACCUACUUUUUUAAGUCGUCUGGUUACCUUUGAUUUAUUGCCAAAAUUGCAGUACUUGCGGGUGCUCUCUUUUAAUGGCUAUCGUAUAACUGAGCUGCCAAACUCAAUCGGUGAUUUGAGACAUCUACGGUAUCUUGACCUUUCCUACACAGCUAUAACUAGUUUGCCUAAAUCGAUAAGUACUCUUUACAACUUGCAGACAUUGAUAUUGGAAGGCUGUAAUGAUUUGAAGUCAUUGCCUGCAGACAUGAGUAAUCUAGUUAAUUUGCGCCAUCUCAACAACUCAAAUGUAUCUUCGUUGGAAGGAAUGCCUCCAAAACUAGGUAGAUUGGAGAAUCUCCAAUCUUUGCCCAAUUUUGUGGUGUGUGGUGGAAGUGAUGAAUCAGGGAUAAGAGAGAUAGGGCCCCUAUCGCAUCUCCGAGGGACAUUGUGCAUCUCAAGAUUGGAGAAUGUGACUGAUUUCGAGGAUGCUCAGAAGGCUGACUUAAAAUGCAAGGAGUGGCUUGAUUCUUUGGUUCUAGAAUGGUCUCAUUCAAGCGACACAAGAGAAACUGAAUCCGCUUUGCUUGACAUGUUACAGCCUCAUAGAAAGAUCAAGGAGCUCACCAUCAAGAGUUAUGCCGGAAAGGAAUUUUCAUCAUGGGUUGGAGGUCAUUUGUUCUCUAAUAUGGUGCUUGUGCGCUUAGAGGAAUGUAACAAUUGUUUAUCGUUGCCUCCUCUCGGACAAUUGCCUCAUCUCAGAGAACUUUAUAUUAUUGGAAUGAAUGCAGUGGAAAGUGUUGGUGCUGAGUUUUGUGGAGAGCGUAUGUUGCCUUUUCGGGUAUUAGAGACUCUUGAGUUUGUGGAAAUGCAGCAUUGGAAGGAAUGGCUUCCUUUCCAAGCCGAUCACGAAGGUGGUGCUUUCCCUUGCCUGAAAACACUCUUAGUAAAAAAAUGUUCUAAACUGGAGGGUAAACUGCCAGAGAACCUCAAUUCUUUAGCUAAGCUUGAAAUUGUUGAAUGUGAAGAAUUAGUGGUUUCAAUUGCCAACUGUAAACAACUUCGUCAGUUAAACAUUGACGGUUGUAAAGUGUUGGUGCACACAGCUGCUAAGGUUGAGUUUGAGUACUUAGAGUCCUUGUGCUUUUCAAACAUUUCGAAGGUGAUGUCUCUGCAAACAGGGGAAUUGUUGAAGAAGGGAUUAAGCAAGGUUAGAGAUUUGAAGAUCAGUGGAUGUGAGGAGGUGACGUCUUCACUGAAGAAUGAGGAGGGUAGAUUAUUGCAACAGUUGACUUCUCUUGGCAGUUUGAAAAUUGAAGACAACUCUCGUCUAGUUGAAGAAUUGGGAAAAGAAGCAGAGGAGUUGCAAAUAUCGGAAUGCAAGCUUGAAUUUCUGGAGUUAAAAAAGUGCGAAAAUCUUUUGAAGCUACCAAAAGGAUUAAAUCAGCUGUCGUCUCUUCAAGAGCUUCGCAUACACAAAUGUUCAAGUCUAGUUUCUUUCCCAGAUGUUGGUCCGCCACCUUCUCUUAAAGACAUCGAGAUUAGAGAGUGCGAUUCGUUGAUAUAUUUUGCAAAAUUCCAGAUUCCCCAAAAUCUCCGAAGAAUAAAGAUAACAUGGUGCAAAAGCUUGAAAUCACUAGUAGAUGAGGAGACUGUUGGUUCUUCUUGGUCGUCUUCUACUCAUACUUGUCUUGAGUACUUGAGUAUCAAAGGAUGUGAAUCUCUGACGUCGUUAUCAUUGAGUGGCCAGCUUCCCAGGACACUUAAACACCUUGAGAUAGAGAAUUGUGAACGACUGGGUUUAAUAGCACCGAACGGGUUCUUCAGCGACAACACCAAUCACUGCCUUGAAUAUAUUACCAUCUGGAAUUGCCAAAAUCUGAAAUCCUUACCGGAUGGCUUAUGCCACCUCAGCAAUCUUCAAACUCUAGGUAUUCGAAAAUGUGGAGGUCUUGUUUCCAUCCCGAGACUGAGUGAGGGGAGAAGACCCUCCAACCUGAGAAAUAUCGAGAUCACCGAUUGCGACAAAUUGGAGGCGUUGCCCGAAGACAUGCUCAAUCUCAACUCUCUUGAGUACUUGAGCAUCGACUACCGUGAAGGUUUGACUUUUCCUCCCAACCUAACAUCACUUAUAAUAUGGAAGGUCAAGAGUUGUAAGUCAUUGUGGGAGUUGGAGUGGGGGUUGCACAGACUCACCUCUCUUAGAGAAUUAUGGAUCAUCGGUGAAGACCCAGAUACGGUGUCGUUUCCACCCGACAUGGUCCGGAUAGAGACACCCCUCCCCAAAUCUCUCACUCUUCUCAAAAUAGAAGGCUUCCCGAAUCUGAAGAAACUGAGCAGCAAGGGCUUUCAAUUCCUCACCUCCCUUCAAUAUCUGGGACUUUGGAAUUGUCCAAAGCUAGCAUCCAUUCCAGAGGAGGGUCUGCCUCCUUCACUAGAGCAUCUUAACAUCCAUAAGUGUCCAGUGCUAAAAGAGAGAUGCCAACCAGGAAAAGGACGCUACUGGCACAAAAUAUCCCACAUCCCUGCCGUACAUCUGUUUUGAGAUGAUUUGAAGCUGAUGGUCCAAGUAUCAUCUCUCGAGGAAUGUUUUAAUAUUAUUAGUAUGGUUUUGGGGGUUGAGGAGUGGCUGCUUUGGGAGGCCUUCAAUUGGCGACAACCGGGAUAUUUCUCGGCCAACGUUUCUUCUUCCGGAUUCCUAUGUUUGCUUGCUCCCCUUUCACUUAUCUCUACUUAUUAAUGCAACCCCCUUUAUCAAUCAAAAGAGGGUAAAAAGAUAAUUUAAUCUUUUAUCACACACAAAAAAAAUGAUGGACAAUAAUGUAAUUUUAUAGGUCUAAAUUUUACUGUUUUUUAUUAAAGUUUCAUCCACAAGUGAUAUUAAAAUACCUUCAACAUUAAAAAACAAAAAUAAACAAAACAAAAAAAAACAAAAACAAAAAUCUCCCACUCCCCUCACGUUCUCUCUCUCUCUCCCUCUCUCCUUCUCAUUUUCUAAAAAAAUAUGUUCAUACACACAAAAGUGUGUAGGCAAAUGCUAGUUUGUAUUAUAAGUGUGCUACUCCUUCUCCUAACUUUAUGCCAACUAUGCCCCUUAAGUAUACUUAAUUCUUUAAUUUUCUUGGGUUAGAGUCAAGGUUAACAUGUUUUUGCACAAAACUAACUAAGAAAACACUCUAGUUACAUUAUAUUGUCAAAUUAUCGAAUUUGAUACUAAAGAAUUAUACAUAAUUAUAUUUAACCGUUCUUAAUUGAGAUUAACAGUGUAAUAAUAUAAAUUUAUCAUCCUUCAUGAUAAAAGAAAGCUUUCUUUAAUGAUAAACUGGUGUUAAAUAAUUGAUAACCGUUAAUGAAUAACGAGUCAUGACUUGCAAUAAACCUCACACACACCAUCAAAAAAGUUUGCAGUCGUGAAUAGACUUGGCAUACGGGUCUUAUUUGUCUCAUCCCGUUAUAUCUUCAUGGAUCUUAUCGUGUCAAACUAUUAUUUUAACAUGUUCUUAACAGGUGACCCUAUAACGACCUAAUUCGUUAACGAAUCAUGUCAUUUCUUGUCAAGAUAACGGAUCAUGCAAGAAAUUGAUAUAUCUAAUGUCUAGAUCAUGCAAGAAAUUGACAAAAUGCAUAAUUGAGAGUGAGACCCACUCCUCCAUGUUAUUAUAUUGACAAUAUGUUCCCUAACCUGGAAUUGGAUCCUCGCCGGAUCUAAUUGCUGGGGAUCCUAGGGAUCAACCCACGUGGGCCGUUGAUCAAAAAUCGUGCGGUCACAAUUAAAUGUUUUAAAAGUAAAACAGUCUCGUUUUGAUUGAAAAAUAUAAAAAAGAAAAAAAUUGUGGCCGCACAAUUUUUUAUCAACGGCCCACAUGGAUUGAUCCCUAGGAUCCCCAUGAAUUAGAUCCGGCGAGGAUCCAAUUCCCCCUAACCGCACAAUUUAUUAUAUCCAAUGUCCAGAUCUAGCAAAAGAUGUCUUAUCGAGUUUUUAAUGGGUGACACCUAAUGACCCGAUUCGUUAACGGGCUCUUAAUGGAUGACCUGAUUCGUUAACGAGUUGAUCAAAAACAUGUUAUUUUUUGUGUCAUUGCGUGUUAGAUUAAUAGUUGAUGCAAGAAAUUGACAAAAUGCAUAAUUGAGAGGGAGACCCACUCCUCCAUGUUAUUAUAUUGACUAUGUUCCCUAACCUGACCAAAAUCCACCAUGAAAUUCCAUAGCAUUGAAACAUGACGCCCCCAGCUCCCUAAUACGCUGUCGUUUUGAGAUUCCCCCACCCCGAAAAGUCCCUCAUAACCGUUGCUAACCCUCUCUCAGAACCCACGCGCCCAUUCUCCAACCGUUUAAACCCCACUCACUCCCACUCUCUCUCUCUCUCUCUCUCUCUCUCUCUCUCUCACUCACUCUAUACAUGUUCUCAGUCAAAAUCUCCAAGUCCUCUGCUUUGGCAACGAAAAUCGAAAACCCAUUUGUUUCCAUCCAUCAGAACUCGAAAUCUCCAUAUUCAUGUCUCCAAGAAAGCUUCUUGUUUUCUGGGUCGACGUCUUCUUCCUCAUAACUCUCUUCCUCCGCCGUGGCUCGGCCGAGAACGUCAACUUCUACUUCCCAUCUUUGAACUUCCGAAACCUCACCUUCCUCGGCGACUCCCACAUCCGAAACGGUGUCUUGGGGCUCACCGCGAGCUCACCGUCCCCUCCUCCAGCGCCGGUGCCGUCAUCUACAACAACCCAAUUCGGUUCUUCGACCCGGAGUCCAACAUCACUGCUUCUUUCUCCACAAAGUUCGCUUUCUCCAUCGCCAACGUCAAUCCGAGCUCCUACGGCGACGGCAUAUCGUUUUUCCUCUCGCAGGAGAACUGGACGCUGGGCAGCCCUGGUGGAUAUCUGGGUCUCGUCAAUUCCUCGCAAUUGACCAAGAACAAGUUCGUAGCCGUCGAAUUUGACACGAAGCUCGAUCUUCACUUCGACGAUCCGAACGACAAUCAGGUCGGAUUGGACAUUGAGAGCCUCAAUUCGAUCAAGACCGCUGAUCCGAUUUCACAGGGUGUCGAUUUCAAGGGCGGAAUUCGAUCACUGCUUGGAUUGAUUACAAGAACGACCAAUAAAAGCUUAAAGUGUAUCUGAGCUACUCGAAUUUCAAGCCUGAAAAGCCGGUUUUGAGCGUGGACAUCGAUCUCUCCGAGCAUCUGAAGGAGGUUAUGUUCGUGGGUUUUUCAGCCUCAACGGAGGGGAGCACGGAUAUUCAUCUGGUUGAGAAUUGGAGCUUUCAUACCUUCGGGUUUGUUGCGAAAAUGCCGAGGUUGUAGCCACACAAUGUGUCCGAUACUUAGGUGGCGGUGAGUCCGAGGAUUCCCGUGUCCGGUUCAGGGGAUAAGCAUCACCGGCGGCUCGGUUUGGGACCUGGGAUUGCUGGGCCAGCGUUCUUUUGCGUGGCGCUGGUGGUUUUCAGUUAUGUUUCCGUGAUGAAAUGGAUGGAGGUGAGAAAACAGAAGAGCUUCAAAGCAGAGCUGGUGGCAGGGCCAAGAGAGUUUAGUUACAAGGAGCUGAAAUCUGCCACAGGAGUGUUUCAUCCCAGUAGGUUGGGACUGUUUACAAGGCGUUUUUUGUGUCUUCAGGCACCAUUUCUGCGGUGAAAAGAUCCAAGCAUUCCCAUGAAGGUAAAACCGAAUUCCUCUCUGAGUUGUCGAUUAUUGCUUGCUUGCGUUACAAGAAUUUAGUUCACCUUCAAGGCUGGUGCGUUGAGAAGGGUGAAUUGCUUCUUGUUUACGAUUUCAUGCCUAAUGGGAACCUCGAAAAGGCGCUGUACCAAGAAUCUGUACAACGAACUUUGUUAGAUUGGUCUCGGAGACUGAAUAUUGCGGUCGGAUUGGCGUCUGUUUUGGCAUAUCUGCACCAGGAAUGUGAGCAGCAGGUCAUCCACAGAGACAUAAAGACUGGAAAUGUGUUGCUUUACGGGAAUUUAAACGCAAGGCUCAGUGAUUUCGGGCUUGCAAAGCUCAUGGAUCACGAUAAAAGCCCUGUUUCCACACUGACAGCGGCAACAAUGGGGUACCUUGCGCCUGAGUAUCUUCAAUAUGGAAAGCCACCGAAAAGACUGAUGGUUUUAGCUAUGGUGUGGUGAUCCUUGAAGUGGCGUGUGGAAGGAGGCCAAUAGAAAAAGAGCCGGGAAGUGAGAAGGCGGUGAAUUUGGUUGAUUGGGUUUGGGGGCUGCAUUCAGAAGGGAUGAUUAUCGAGGCGGCUGACAAGCUGCUGAAUGGGGAGUUUAAUGUGAAAGAAAUGAGAAAUCUGUUGCUUGUCGGAUUAAGUUGUGCUAACCCUGAUAGUGCGGAGAGGCCUACGAUGAGGAGGGUUCUGCAGAUUCUGAGCAAUGAGGCAGAAGUUCAAGCCGUCCCAAGGGUGAAGCCGAGUCUGAGUUUGUCUAGCAGAUUGCCUUUGUCCCUUGAUGACAUUGUUUCGGAUUGUGAGGAGGAUUCCAAUAGCCCUACAAGCUCGAUGUGUGAGAUCGUCAUUCACUGAAAAAUAUAUGCAGAUUUGAAGAGUUUAUAGAUAGUUGGAUUCUUCCAUUCUUUUAACUUUACCACUGCUUUUUUUUUUUUUUUAUCUAUCCUGUAGUUUGAAGAUUAGAGACUGUAUAGUCCACUGGCCUGAGUUCAAAGCUUUCUGUUGAACUGUGUGGUCUCUACUUUGUCCAGGACAAAAAAAGCUUCUUGCUUGAAUAUUUCAACUGUAAUGGAAGACUAAUUUCUGACUGGUUUACAAGUUGAAUGUUACACACGAACGAUUUCUAUACUAUUCGAUCUUACUGUUCUUAUACCGUUCUGUUUCUUGGGUAGUUUGAUUUGGUCUUUCCUAAUGGUACGAUACUGAGCAGUGGGUGAUCUGUAGAGUGAUUCUGUUUGCACCCGUAAAUCUGUUCGACACACACCCUCUCCCUCUCUCAGGCUAAAGUAGCCAUGGCAAAGGGAGGAGAACUAGGAAGGUUUUUGAGAGAUAGAGAGAGAGAGAGAGUGUGUGUGUGUGUGUGUGUGUGUGUGUGUGUGUGUGUGUGUGUGUGUGUGUUCUUUGGGUGUGAGAGUAAGAAGAUGCAGAAAGUAGAUAUAGCGAUGACAUUCAUAGAACUUACAGAUUCUGAACUUUUUUAAUCUCCCUCUAUGCCAGAAGAGAAUUUGAACUAUCUGCUUUGCAGAACUUGAGAAUUUUUCGGAUUGCAUCGCUAUCAGGAGAAAUUCUCAAGUUUUGGUAGUGAAGUAUUCAAGAAUAGUACACUGCAAUCCUUCUGUUUCAUAAUUGACCUCCUUUAUACACGCAGAUUUGAAGCUUUUCGCCAUCGGGAUAAAUUCUCAAGUUUGGUACUGAAGUGUAUUAAGCAGAUAAGUACGUGCAAUCAGUUAUGGAAGAAUUCGACCUGCUAUGCACAAACAGAACUAAGAAAGUGGACGAGUUCUUAUGAGCACAAGAUUUUGAAAUUUACCGGAUCCUUGCGUCUAAUUACCAUUGACAUUAUUCCAGUUCAACUCCUUUUUGAUGUACAGAUAAAAACUGUGUACCAGGCAAAGCCAAACCAGAACGUUCUGCAAGUAAGAACUCCGUGCUGGUCAAGUAAUCUGCCAGGCCCAGACUCAAGGCAGCAAGCUUGGAGAAAUGCUGAACCAGAAUAUGCAACAUCGUUCUUCUCCCCUGAAAUCGAAUUGUGCACAACAUCAGUGAAUUCUCGAUGGCCCUUUUUGUGGUCUCCCUCUCCGAUCCUGGUUUCGGAUCUUUGUUUUGCGAAAUAGGUCUUUACUGUUCCUUUCACGUCGACGAUGAGCCAGGAGUAUGGAACUUAAGAAGUAUCCCUCAUGACAAAGCAGAUAACCGUAUCAAUCACUAAGCGGUUUACAACAUCAAGUUUCCGAAGAACAUUUCAAUGCUGUACAAGACCUGCAAAUUAGCAGCAAACUGCCGUAGCUUAUCAAUUGUGACAGAAAUAAGUUAAACUAACCUUGUAUAUUUGAUCAAGAGCUUCAAAAUAAUUCAUAAGAUCUAAUAUUAAAAAAAAUGUAAAAGCAAAUACACUGAAAGAAAACACUUAUGGUGAAAAUAUUUUUGGAACCAAUUAUUUGUGAAAAUACAAGUAAAUCCUCGAAAGCACUUAAAAAAAUACAUUUCUAAAAGAAACAUUUCAAUCAUUUUGAAAAGCACUUCAACUUCUUCUCAUCAUUCUUACAAAAUAAGAAUUUGUACAAAACUGACAUAUACUUGCUUCAACUGAUUAUUCUGCUCCAAGAAUCAUCUGCAUAAUAUAAAUACAAAAUCCACGAGGAAAAUAGAGUUUCGCGGUUUACAUAGGAAUUAAACAAUAAUGUACACACAUACACAAUAUCCACAAAUUAAGUGAUUUCCCGAUUCACCAUAUAGAAUGUUGAGCUUGUUGCGAGUUAUACAUUAGUUAAAGUAUAAAUAGUAGUUUAUUGUCCCAUAUUAGUGAAGUACAUAUGUAAUAUCAAUUGUAACUUUUAUAUAUACUCCACUUUGGAGAUUAAUGAAUAUAUAAGAAAUUCACAAAUAUUAUCAUAUAUAUUUUUGGUAUUUACCAUGUUGAGUUUAAUAUUGCUAUUUACCAUGUUUAGUUUAAUAUGGUAUCAGAGCAAUUCGCUCUUGGUGACCAGUGUGCUUUAAUUUUGUGCCCACAUUUUUCGUGAUCUCCUAUGUGAAAAAAAAAAUUAGUGAAUAGUGUCGCGCUACAAUACAACGUUUGCUACAGUGCAUGAAUAGUGGUCCUCUACAUUGCCGUGCACAGUGAUUGCUACAGUGCCGUGAAUAUUCUCUGCUACAGUGCUGUGAACAAUGAUUGCUACAGGUUCUGGUAAAUUGUUUUCAUUCUGCUGCGUAUCUUUUGUGCCUUUAUUGUUCGUGAUUUUGUUCAAUGACUCAAUAUAAUCAUAGUAUUGUUAUGCAUCUUGGUGGAACAAUAAAUGGAUAAUUGAUACUGGGGCUACUGAUCAUGUGACUAGUGACCCUAGAGUGUUUGAUGAGUUAUGUGACUAUGUUUGUGAUCCGUAUAUUACUAGUGCAAAUGGAGCACUUUCCCCUGUGAAGGGUGAAUACACUAUCUCUCUAACUCCAACCUUAUCACUGGUCUGUGUUUUACUUGUUCCUGAUGUUAAGUGCAAUCUUUUGUCGGUAUGAAAACUUCUUGAUACCUUAUAUUGUUCUGCUUACUUCUAUCCUACGUAUUGUUAUUUUCAAAACAUUCAAACUCAGAAGAUAAUUGGUCAUGAUAAAAAAAUAGGGGGUUUGUACAUCUUGACUAUGGAGGAUACUGUUGUUUCCGGUUCAAAUAAUCAUCAAGUUUUAAGUGCUAAUGUCACAUCCCGACCCAUGGUCCACCACAUCCCGGGCUCGCUCCACCACCGUAACACGAUAUUGUCCGUUUUAGGCCCCGACCACGCCCUCACGAUUUUGUUUCUGGGAACUCACAUGAGAACUUCCUAGUGGGUCACCCAUAAUGGGAGUGCUCUCGUGCGCUACUCACUUAACUUCCGAGUUCCGAUGAACUCCGAACCCAGUGAGCUCCCAAAAUGCCUUGUGCUAGGUAGGGAUGGGAAUAUACAUUUAAGGAUCACUCACCUAGGCAAUGUGGGAUCUUACAAUCCACCCCCCUUAGGGGCCUGACGUCCUCGUUGGCAUACCACAGCCAGGGUUAGGCUCUGAUACCAAAUUGUUACAUCCCGACCCGGGGUCCACCAUAUCCCGGGCCCGCUCCACCGCCAUAGCACGAUAUUGUCCGCUUUAGGCCCUGACCACACCCUCAUAUUUUUGUUUUUAGGAACUCACACAAGAACUUCCCGAUGGGUCACCCAUCAUGAGAGUGCUCUCGUGCGCAACUCGCUUAACUUCCGAGUUCCGAUGAACUCCGAAGCCAGUGAACUCCUAAAAGGCCUCGUGCUAGGUAGGGAUGAGAAUAUACAUUUAAGGAUCACUCACAUGGGCGAUGUGGGAUCUUAUAGCUAAAGUGGAUGACAGACAUCAAAUUUGGUUGUGACAUCGACGAUUGGGACAUCCAUCAUUCAGUUAUAUGAAGCAUCUAUUUCCUUCUUUGUUUCGCACUUGUAGUGAUUCAGAGUUUAAGUGUGAAACAUGUGUCAUGGCUAAGAGUCAUCGUGCUUCCUUUCCUGUAAGUGAUUCUAAAGCUACUUUGUCAUUUGAUUUGAUACAUUCUGAUGUGGGGUCCGGCGAAAGUUACUUCUAAUGGAUUCCGUUGGUUUGUUACUUUUAUUAAUGAUUAUACUCGGUUAACUUAGGUGUUCUUGAUGAAGAAUAAGAGUGAUGUUCCGUUACUUCUUCAAGAAUUUUGUACAAUGGUGUCUACUCAGUUUCAGACCAAAGUUAACGUCUUCAGGUCUGAUAACGGAUGAGAAUGUGUAAAUCACACUUUGACAUGUUUUUUUCUCGUGAUUAUGGUAUUAUUCACCAGACUACUCCAUUUACACCCCAAAAAAAUGGUGUGUCCGAACAGAAGAAUCGUCAAAUAAUGGAGGUUGCUCACUUUUUGAUGUUGGAUAAAUGUGUUCCUAAUCAUUUGUGGGGUCAUGCUGUUUUGGCUGCUAUGUUUUUGAUCAAUCGUGUUCCAAGUAGGGUUCUUCAUUUUCAGACACCGUUUGAUGUGCUACAAAAACAUGUUUCUCUUGUUUCUGUAUUAAAGCUUCUUCCGAAAGUGUUUGGGUAUAUUGCGUAUGUGCAUGUCUACUCUCAUCAGCGGAGUAAACUUGAUGCAUGUGCUCUCCGGUGUGUCUUUAUUGGGUAUGCUAACAAUCAAAAAGGCUAUAAGUGUUAUCAUCAUCCGACUCAAAAAACUUAUAUUACCAUGGAUGUUACCUUGCAUAAGAAAAUUUUGUAUUUUAUGAAGCUCUCUUCCGACUCUCCACUUCAGGCGGAGAGGGGGAGUGAAAUGCAUAUUCAAAUAAAUGGUAUGGAUGAUGUGUUACAGGCAGAGUUGGGAACAUAACCUAUUAUGUUGCGUGAUACUAAUCAGUUGGCUACAGAUAAUGAUCGAUCACCUGUCAUUCCCGGAACUAUUUCUACUGAUGACAGAUCAGAUGUGCCCAAUGAAUUGCCUAUUAGUAUGUCUAACGAAUUACAUUCUGAUGAUCGGUUGUCUGUUGCUAAUAUGUCUAAAGAGUUGCCUGAUGAUGGUUCGUCCAGUGAUGAUUCUUCUAACAGUUUGGUACACAUGAAGUAAAUUCUGACGAUUCUUCUAUUUAUCAGUUGCCUCCAUGAGCUAAUCGUGGAAAACAUAAAGUACAAUAUGAUCCUGAUAUGCAUGCCAAAGCCAAAUAUCCUAUCAACAAUUAUCUGUCUACUCAUCGUUUGUCCAAACCAUAUGCAUCUUACAUAUGUCAGCUAUCUAGUGUAUCAAUUCCAAUAAAAUUGCAAGAUGCUUUGUCUAACCCUAAGUGGGUUAAUGCCAUGAAAGUUAAGAUGGAAGCUUUGGAAAAGAAUUCUACUUAGGAUUUGGUUCCGUUACCAAACGGGAAGAAAGUCGUUUGAUGUAGAUGGUUGUUUACUAUUAAGCACAAAGCAUAUGGUUCUAUUGACUGGUAUAAAGCCAUAUUAGUUGCUAAGGGUUAUACUCAAACCUAUGGGGUGGACUAUCAGGAGACCUUUACUCCUGUUGCCACACUUAAUACUGUGCGUGUUCUUUUGUCCUUAGCAGUAAACCAGGAUUGGCCUCUGUUGCAGUUUGAUGUUAAGAAUGCUUUCCUUCAUGGUGAUCUUAAGGAAUAAGUGUAUAUGGAUCUCCCACCUGGUAUUGGAACAUCUCCUGGAAAAGGUGUUGUAUACAGGUUACAAAAGGCCUUAUAUGGUUUGAAACAAUCUCCUAGAGCGUGGUUUUUGAGGUUUACAAGUUCAAUGAAGAAGUUUGGGUAUAUCCACAGUCAUUCAGAUCAUACUUUGUUUCUAAAGCGACAAAAUGGUAAGCUAACUACAUUGAUUAUAUAUGUUGAUGACAUGAUAGUGACUGGUGAUGAUCAGAAUGAGGAGAUACAACGCCUUCAAAAGUACCUAGCUACUGAGUUUGAGAUGAAAGAAUUAUGUGAAUUGAAGUAUUUUUUUGGAAUCGAGGUUGCACGAUCUAAGCAUGGUAUUUUUCUGUCUCAACGAAAGUAUGUUCUUGAUUUGUUAGCUGAAACAUGUAUGUUAGAUUGCAAACCUGUUGAUACUCUGAUUGAGCAGAAUCAUCGUCUGGGCUUAUUUCCAGAUCAAGUUUCUACUCAUAAGGAACAAUAUCAGAGGCUUGUGGGGAGAUUAAUUUAUUUGUCUCACACUCGCCCUGACAUUGCUUAUGCAGUUAAUGUGGUAAGUCAGUUUAUGCACUCACCUAGUGAAGCUCAUAUGGAUGAAGUAACCCGUAUUUUGAGGUACUUGAAGAUGGCUCUUGGCAGAGGCUUGGUUUUCUCCAAGAAUGGUCAUUUGAAUAUCGAAGGGUAUACAGAUGCAGAUUGGGCAGGUUCUAUCACUAAUCGGCGAUUUACAUCUGGAUACUUUACGUUUGUAGGUGGUAAUUUAGUUACUUGGAGAAGCAAGAAACAAAAAGUGGUGGCUAGGUCAAGCACAGAAGCUGAGUUUCGUGAUAUGUCUCAUGGUGUAUGUGAGUUGUUGUGGUUGAAAAAAUUGUUGAGAGAUCUUGGGUCUAAACCCAAAGGUGCUAUGAAACUUCAUUGUGAUAACAAGGCUGCUAUUGAGAUUGCUCAUAAUCCAGUGCAACAUGAUCGAACAAAACAUGUGGAGAUUGAUCGACAUUUCAUUAAGGAAAAAUUGGAUGCUAGAAUUAUUAUGUUUCCGUUUGUGAGAUAUGAAGAUCAACUUAUUGAUGCUCUUACUAAGGCUGUGUCUAAUAGUGUGUUUUCCAACUCGCUUGACAAGUUGGACAUGCGUGACAUCUUUGCACCAACUUGAGGGGGAGUAUUGCGAGUUAUACAUUAGUUAAAGUGUAAAUAGUAGUUUAUUGUCCCAUAUUGGUGAAGUACAUAUGUAAUAUCAACUGUAACUCCUAUAUAUACUCCACUUUGAAGAUUAAUGAAUAUAUAAGAAAUUCUCAAAUAUUGUCAUAUAUAUUUUUGGUAUUUACUAUGUUGAGUUUAAUAUUGGUAUUUACCAUGUUUAGUUUAAUAGAGCUAUAUAUAUAUAUAUAUAUAUAUAUAUAUAUAUAUAUAUAUAUUAUAUAUAUAUAUAUAUAUAUUUGUAGAUAACAAUGUUCCUUAAUUUUGUGAGAGAAUAUCUUACUUUGAGGUUAGAUCGAAGUAGAUCAGACGACGGUGCUGACAGAUGGGAAUGUAAGAGAUGAUGACAGAAGAAGAGAAAGCACACUCCCAGCAACGGUAAAGACUCUCCUUAGCCGAUGGCGGGUUGUGCUCUCUCUCUUCUGUCAACAUAUAUGAACUCUAACCUCAUUCCCCAUCUCAUCUAUACACCCUUAAUGCCACAAAACUCAUGCAUUCAUCCCUGCAGAGCAAACCAUCAAUUAAUAGGGUGAGGUAACGCAUUCAGGCUCAUAUAAAUCUGAUAUAUUGUAUACAAUGCAUAUUAGCAUGUCUACUACCCCUUACAUACAUACAUACAUACAUAUACAUAUAUAUACAUAUAUAUAUAUAUAUAUAUAUAUAAGCAUAUCAUAUGUAUAGAUACUGGCGCAGUUGUAGAAGAGGUAUUUAAUGGCACAAACCCGGUUUAGUGCAACUUUCGGUCUCGAAGUCAGAUUUUGGCCCAUGAGUUGCGGGGGACAAACAGUUUGUGCCGUGAAACUCCUCUUCUACUCACACACCAUACUCUGCAUAGAUAUAUGAUUUUAAAUAUCCGUUAAUUCAUUAUUAUAAGCAUAAUUUUUGCUAACAGAUAAAUAAUUAAACAUAAGAACUUGCCUCUAUAUAUAGCCAAAAAUUAACCAUGAUCUGGGAUUUUUUUUUUCAUCAAGCCAAUAAAUAUGUACUGAUCAUGAAACAAACUGAUCAAUAUCAACAUCCAUCACCAUGAAGGGGUAAUUUGUGAGUGAAAUCAAUACUGAAUUUAUAAAAUUUAUAUGUAUAUAUAAUGUGUUCAGAUAUGUAUUUAUAUAUACCUAAUGUAUGCAUAUGCAUCAAAAAUCAGAUUAAAACAAUAUAUCUACUUAUCACAGGAACUACUUCAUACAAAUAAAUAUAAUUUAUCAUGACAGUUUAAUCAAAACACUGGCUAAAAAUUGAGAGAGAGAGAGAGAGAGAGAGAGAGAGAGAGGAGAGUGAGAAUUUUACUCUUAGGGUUCUUCAACUUUUGCUUAGCUGGUCAUCAGAUACGAUUUUCACUGCAGAAACUACUAGUUUCUCUUCACUUUCCAUGAAAGAUAAAGAGGAAAGAAGAAAUAAAGAAGUAGAUAAAAGCAGAGAACAAGUGUGGGAGUGAGAGAUACGUAUAAGCUACAAAUUCUAUACCUCAAUGUAUCAGUUGUUGAUGAAUAGUGUUCAUCUUAUAGGGACCUGGCCGCUGACUAUAACCGGUGACUUGUAGUAUGAUUUAUGACCGUCUAGUGAGCGUAAACUGGUUUCGACACUAGUUUUUAUUUUAUGAUUUAGAUGUUGUAUUAAACAUUAUGGAUAGCCACCGUUUUAAAUAUCAAUAUGCGUGAAAAUAUCAAUAUGCAAAUUUAUAAAAAUGUAGGUGGACACGUCGAUAUCGGUUGCCUUCAUAAAUAUUAAAGAAAUUUGCAAUGUGUGAUAUAUCUCAUUCAGAUUUAGUUGAAAUUAAAAAAAAAUUCAUAAAAUUUCAAAAGUUUGAAAUUUGAAAUGAGUUCCCGCAAAAUAUAUGUAGUGUAUUAGUAAAUAUUGUAGAUAUUUAUUGAUUUUCUUUAUCUUGGUGAUAUAGGAUGAAGUUUGUAUUUUACCCCUUCUAUAUUGAUUCUUAAUUUUUUUUUAAUAUUUCAACGAAAAUAUUGACGAUUUGUAAAUAUUUUAAACACAAGGUAGUAUAUAGGAUUUCAAAUAUAUUCAAACCCAAACGUUACUAUUAUCCGGAAUUAAACUUACAUUUUAAUUAAAAACAGGCUACCUGAUUAACAUAACAAGAUAUAAAAUAACACUUCCUUUUUCUCGAGUCUGCAAGCUUAUCCGUUUGUACAAAUUUGGUGUUAGGACUUGGGAGAUUCUUUUCAAACGUGAUGAAACUUUUCACUGUCAAAGGACUCAAAGUCGUUAAUGGCACCAAUAAAAUUUAAAAUUUAAAAUUGUAUUUAAUAAAGAAGAAAAUGACGUUGAUAAAGAAUAAUAAGACCCGUGGUGUAAGCAACGUCAUAAAUGGGUAACCAAAAAUGGUGGGGGUGGAUGUUGACCGGCUAUUUCAGGUCGGCCGGAUCCAAGAAAGGGUCUUUGUUUCUCUCUCACCUCACCUGACAUCACCCGUGAUAACCGAUAAACUCGUCGCUUUCGCGACUGUGGAGAAUAUCGAGACCGUUGAGUGGUGCCACGUGGAGGACAUGCACGGGUGGUAGGCUGGUGAUUUGGGAUAUGAACAGUGACUACCUUCCUCUCAUGAAUUUUGCAUACUUUAGUUUAUUAUCUUAUUUUCCACGCCGAAACUUUAUAUUAAAAAAAUAAUACAUUUGUCAAAAGUGCACGAUAAAAAUUUUUAAAAUGCAAACAACAGUGUACUAAUUAUUAGAUCGGUGCCAUGCUAAUCUCUAUGAUUUAGUGAAACUCUUCGUAAUACAUUGUUAUUAAUAUACCAAAUCAAAUCAAAAUUUUCAUUUACAAUUCAAACAUAUUACUUUUACCACAUUUUCAUACUAUAUUUGUACCAUCUUUAUAAUAAAAAGGGGAUCUAUAUGUGUCGGUUGGUCCUACUUCUAUUAAAAAGUGGUACGAAUAAUAUGAUAUGAAAAUUAUAGUUAAGUGUAGCAUUAGACUACUUUUGCAGACGUUCGUGGUACUGAUUUUAAUCUUCUACUAUAAUACACCUAAACUUGUUAUUUCAUCAUGUUAUUUAUUUUUAUUUAAAUGAGAAAUAUUAUGUUCGAAUCUCAUGAUUGAUUAUAUUUCCCGACUAAUUACCCAGAUAGUUUAAAUAUCGAUCGUUGUAAUGUCAUUGUCCACCCUCUAAUUCAAAUUAGCAGCAUUAGGGAGGUCCAUUUAAUGGGGUCAUCAGCCAUGACAAGGAGCUUGAAAGAUUAAUAGACUCUGAGCAUCUUUGAUUGGUCAACACUCGUUAGGUCUUAUUCUUGUAGCUAUAAUUGGAGAGAUUUUUCAACAUAUUUGAAAUACGAGACUGUACAUUACAUGACACUGUACAAAUGAAAAGAUACUUGCAAAACUUAAAAUAAAACUUUUGUUUAUAUAUAUAAUGACAUAUUAUGUACCACCCAUGUUUCGAAUAUAUUGAAAAAUUACUCAAACUCAUGUGAAAAUGAAUGUUUUCCCUUUUCAGCCACACGUAAAAUAUAUGGUUCCCAUAAAAAUUCAAAAAUCAAGAGGAAGCCUGCAAUAUUGCUAUCAGAAAGCUCCCCUCAUCAUCUCAGAUGGUCCUGGGGAGAGGAAUCGAUGAAUGGAUCACAACCGUUGGAUCCAUUGAUUGAAAUGUGGGGCCUUCUGCCACGAGACACGUGUUCAUGCCCUAGAGAUGCAGGUGAAGUUCAUGCGCCGAUACAGAAGAAAAAUGAAAAGGCAUGCUGAAAAUAAUUCAGAUAUUUUGAUGCCUGAGAGCGACCGGAGACAUAUAUCCAUUGACGUCACUCGUCUAAUCGAUAUUUCUCAUACGUUAAAAAAGUGAACUAAUCGUUCAUCUUACGUUUAAACCGUGAAUCUGCUUGAUCGUUAUCACAAGUAAUGUAUAAUUUCCAAUUAACCUCAUUUGUGUUCAUAAAAAAGAGUGAAUAAUCGUAAGUGCCAAAGCCUUGAUACAAUGGAUUCAAGGCAAAUGAGAUUUGGAAACAACUGGCAAUAAAUCAAAUCAAUAAUUCAUAUAAGCAUCGGCUAAAAAAAUGCCAUUUUAGUACAGAUAAUUACAUUUCUUUUCUUCAUAAUCUCACGUUCCUAACAGCAUAACAAAAUCUCAGUAAAGUACAGAACCUGCAGAUUGCUUCAAGACAAUGUCACAAUAAGUAGAAACUGUAUGAAUUAGUUUGAAUCACUAAGUCAGCAAAACCUCCAAUCCGGGUACUAAUUAGUUCUGAUUCGAUCGCCUUCAGAAGUAAUUAAAGUGUCUAUGAUCUUGUAAUGUGAGAGACGCCCACGCAACGGAUCAUCUUGCGCAUUAUCUGUGUUACUUCUCAGUUUUUCAGACUUCGAAGCAGGAUUCAUAUCACUUUUCUCAUCGAAGAUCUCUCGUUUUAGGGUCUCUGAUGCUUCCUUGGAUUCAACCAAUUUAGUUUUCCAUUUAAUACCAACUGCCUCAGCCUGAUCUGCAAACAAGACUUUUGCGCUAGCUGAACUGCAGAUUUCUUUGUAAGUUUCAUAAUUAGCAGCUCGGGUGCUUCCACCUUCCAAAAGUCCCGUGAGGGGAUGCAAAACCGAGACUGGACCAUCACUUCUCUCUAAUGUUUCCUUCAACGCCAGAAAUUCAGAGACAAAUUUUUCCUUGCUAAACUGAAUGAAUACUGCAGUUUCAUCCAAGUGGUAGACAGACGUGACAGAGGUCGGGCCAAAGACUUUUGUGAUGCACUCCCUUAUAUCUCGUGCCUUGAGUUUUGAUGGGAAUCCCCAGAUUAAAGCAAUGUUCUCAAACAUAAUCUGCGCGUACCUCUUUUUGUGAUUAUUAUACCCCGAAGACAUUGCUUUCUUCUUGCCGGUGGUUAAAUCAAUAAUGUCUCCAUUACUCCAACUGAGGUAUAAAAGGUUGAUUUGCUUCUGGAGCUUCUCAUUGUGGGGCAACUUUUCAGAUGACAAACAAGCCUGAAAAUCAAUUCCGAGAUGACUGCAUGUCUGAGCAAAGACACAGCCUGUCAUAAAAGCAUCGUAUCCUGCUUCAUGUUUGGCUCCAGAAUUCCAGUUGGAGGACCUGCAAAUAGAUAAUCGUGAUAUGAAAGACUUAUUCCUUUGCUUUUCCUUUCAUUUGUAUAUAAACUGCCAAUUUUAGUUACAUUACUAAAACUAUCUUUCUCCAUAUGUAAUGGUUAUUCUUUUAACCAAUAUGUAAUGGUUAUUCUAUGAGAGAGAGCCACGUGGCAUGCACAAGUAUAUACAUCUCGUAAAGCAAGUAGAAAUAGAAACAAAUUGACAAACUUAUACGAACUUGUUAUCCGACAGAUUUCUAAAGUUGGUUGCAUCUAAAGAAUGUAAUGUGUAAUUAACCCCGGUCAAAAAUGUCAUGCCAACCUAGUCGUUUUCAGACAGAUCUCUAAGUGCCCUACGCCAUUAAUGAAAGUUAAUGAAAAUGCUCUCCUUCAUCUGUCGGGUUUCAACUCUAUAUCUUUUUCCAUUCAAACUGUGACAAUGGAAACCACUGAGACCAACUAAAUGAAUUGAGCACGGCCGAGAUAUCAUUAUGGACAGAGAAUGGAAAAAGCAAACCUCAAAUCAUCCACCUGAACUUCAACUUUGACACACAAUUGGACUUCUGAAUCAGUGCUUUUCUUCCCAAGAGCAAUUUGCGGGCAUAACAAAGCAAAUGCUGACGAAAGUGAUGUUCUGGACUUCUUCAUCCGUUGUUGGAGCACAUUAUCUGUAUUCAACAGUACUUUGGUGUCAAUGAUGUGUGGAAAAUACUUGUUAACAGCAGAGACAAAUUCCUCAGCAGUCGAAGGUAGAGGUCCCAAGAAUUUGUUGUAUAUAUGGGCAAUAUCUGUAUGACAACAAGAAGACAUCUUAGUAAUAUAUAAAAUCAAAUUGACCUUUUAUGAAAGUAACAUCAAUACUCAUACCAAGAAAGCAAUUGUGACCAACAAUCAACUUUUGUUCUGAGGAAAGAAGGUCAAUAACAUGACGAAACCCAACUGCAGCUUGAACUUUCACCUCUGCUUCCCUACGAUGUUCAUCCUUAACCUCUUUCUGCAAAAGAUUGCAUACAGAAAACUAUAAUUCCUCCUGAGGUGUAGAUGAUCAUCACAUAAUAACAAAUACACUGACUUCCUUUGGUGAUAAUUUCUGUUCUCCCUAAUGCACCAACAGCAUUAUGCAAAAUUUAUGCCCAGAUAGUAAUUAUCAUACACACUGCCGUUUGUUUAUUAACGAGAAAUUAACAGUGUUGAGACAUUUUAGUUAAGACUUAGAAGAAGAAGAGAAAGAAGAGUUUCAAUAUCUCUAAUGGUUGUUUCGAUGGCUACGAUAGAAAUCCAGAGAAAACUUGUUGAUUGACUUAUUGGAAUACUAAAAAGUAAAAACAACUCCAGGCCCAAACUCGGACCAUCAAGACCUUUAGAAAGUAAAUCAUUUUCAAUAAGAAAACAACCAAAUUCUAAUAACCGAAAGUCUGAAAACUAUUUCACAAAGUAAACAUCCUAAGUAGUCUUUCACAGUUGAAGAGCAUUUGAAAAUUUCACAUCAUAUAAACUGGAGGACACAAAUUACUUACCAGAAGCAAAUCCCUGUCAUCCUUGGAAUCUGUCCGCACAACUAGUUGCUGUUGACACGACUUUUCACCAUUUACCUGAACAUAAGAAAGAUCUUGGAAAUGCUUUCUCAUGACCUGCAAACGUUAAUUUUAAUAUUCAGCUUAACAAAACCAUGACUAAGAAGAAGAAAAAAUGUUUUUUACGCAUAUAGAGUACAUCUCUGCAUUAUUAUAAAAAGUAAAACAAUACUUUUUUUUUUUUUUCGUACCCAGUGCACAAGGCUCCCGCUUUACGCAGGGUCUGGGAGAGGUGAAUGUUGGCUAGCCUUACCCCCAUUUAUGGAGAGGCUGCUCCCAAGUAUCAAUCAAAUCAUUUGCUUGGCUAAAAAGGUUAAAAUACAAUAAAUAUAUUCACAUCCAAUUUAUGAGAUAUCAUGCAAAAGCAAAUGUGAAUGAUUACAGAAUCAUGAAUGCGAAUAAGAAACACAAACUUGCCAAAAAGAAGACCUAUUAUAGUGUGUCAAGAUACUCGCAGCAUAAAGUGUCAAGAUAACUGCAACAAAAUAUCCAUCCAAUGACUUAAGACUCAGAUCAAAGUCAAAUAAAAGUUGUUGCUUCAUAAUUUCCAAUUUCAGUUCCUUACCAGCCUCAGUGAGCAUUUCACCAAUUUCAAUCUCUUCCUAGAACUUUUAUACUUAUCUAUAACAAAAAUUUCAAAACCCGGUUUCGAGUUACUUUUCCUUGAACAACCAGGGAAAAGGCGAAUAGACAUAGAGUAAGUUUUUGAAUUAUUUGAGGCAAUUACUAAAGAAUACCUAGGAUCAUGUCAUGGAUCACAUGUCCAAGAUUAACUUGUUACAAGUGAGAAUCUUAUGAUAGAUGAUCAAAAUGUAAAAACCAAACCCACCAUUUGAAUCAACCUAAGCUGAUGAGAAGUGAAUCCCUUCAAACUAAGAGCUGGACGCAUCUUGAAGAAAAUGGUUUGUAACUGUUGGGAAUCAUUUGAGUUUUGCUGAAAUUGGAAUCCUCCAUUACUACUUCUCAAGUUCAACAAACCAUCACGCCAUUCAGUGAAUGUGUUCUUCAUCCGUUCAGCAAAGAGAGUGUCAGCAAUCUUGACCACUGGCAUGUGCACAGGUUCUUUCAAGUUUGAACAUCUAGUCAAUAACUCAUCAUCAUAUGUCAAGCUCAAACGUCUCAGUGCCUCACUUUCCUGCCCUCUGGAUAAAUAAGAUAUUCCUGAGAUUGUACAACCAUUUAACUUUACAAACUGAAACCAUCAUAAAAGAAAAGCCAGGGAAGUAACUUUCACACCAGUUACAAAACCUUAACCAUUACUUCAAAAAGAAAUCAAACAAUUUCACUACCUUCAUGUAUGCAGACAUUAAAAUCGAACUGGUAUUUAGCUAAGAAAUCAAUCGAUGUUGUCUGGCAAAGAAACUCAUAAGUGGGGCCUGCAACCGGAAGCUCUUGACGCGGAAAAAUGUAAAAAUUGUGCCUGUCAGCACACCCAUAGUAUUACACAAUAAAAACCACAUAAAAAGUUCAAAACGAAACACCAUCAUUGCACAAACUUAUUCAUCUCGGAAAUUGUGUGCCUUCGCAUUUGCUUCAAACAAUCCUAGACAGCAAACACAUGUAUAAUAUAAUUUACAAACCCGGCAAAGCAACCGAUUUUACGUAAAAAAUUUCAAAAUUUAAAUUUUUUUUCUCCUUUUAAAGUUCAACUUACUACAUUUACCAGAAAAUCCAGUCACAUUUAGCUUUUCAAUCCAAAUAUCAUGAUCAAAGCAAAAGACUCGAACUUUAAAUUUUAUCAGCUAACUAACACGUAAUUGCAAGAGAGAGAAGCAAUUGCCAAUGUUUCAAUAACAAUAAAAUCAAGCAAAAUCCCUAAUUUUUGUUCCUUACUUUCUUCCUCACUUUCUGGGCAGCCAAACAGAGCACAAACAAAAAUCAAGAAUGGAAAAGAAAAAGUCACAUACGGAUGAGCAAUGAAGGAGCGCUUGGAGGAGUCCCAGCGGAAGGGGCAAACUCCGAACUGAAGCACGGCGAACUUCUCGGCCGAGUCCUUGACCUUAAGGUAGCAGACGUCGGCGCGGUCGAAUUCCAGGGAGUCACGCCACGGAGCGCUGGUGAUUCCGGUCAUCUCGAGAUCGAUGGCCACGAAAUCGGCGGCGGCGACAUGGCGGCGCAGGUCGGCGAGGGCCGGCUCGAAGUUGGAUUUGGUCACGUUUUUUAGAGGGAAGGUGGAGGAUUGUUGUUGUACGGACGACGAAGAGGAAGAGGAGUGGGAUAGGGCACGUGAUAUCGCACGUGACAGUGCCCUCACCGGGCGGUGAGUGUUCAUUUUCUGAGCAUUUGCCUGAGCUUUCGGCCCUCGGGGGUUUAUGCAGAGAGUUUUCGACCCAAGGUAGAAGAUGAAAUGAUACCGCCUACGACGUCGUUUCUGCAAUUUUCAAUAAAUCUUUUCCUGGGGGAAUCGGGUCGGGUUAGCCCAACUUGAAAGCUAUAUAGAAAGGCCCAGCCAACCAAGGGAGUUCUGUUUUCUGCCCGGAGAAAUGAUUUUUACGCGUCAUUUUCUCUUUCUUCAAACGUUCACCUGGAAUGUGUAUAUUUUCCUUCUUGUAUGAUUAAGUCAUUUCUUAUUUUGAUUCUGAUUACGAAUUAACAAACGCAUACUUUUUGUGCUUAGAAUUUCUUGUUACGAUGAAACUCAAUGAAACUACACGUUUGAUUUACUUACAUUCAUAAAGCUCGAGUUAAACGAGCGGCUAAUGCGAGGGAACGCUUUGCUAAAGGGUUGGAGAAAUAGAGACGAAUAAUAAAGAGGACUCCCCUGAAAAAUUAACACACUUGAUGAUGACACACAAUCUAAUACAGACGGCUCUAUUAUUGUAUAUAAGACUCACUCGUUGUCUUAUUAAAAAUUGUGUCAGCAGGUGAAUCAAUUUUGUAUGUCUAAUAACAUUAUCUUUAUUCAGUUAGGGACAAAAGUAAGGACCAAGAACAAGCCAUUGCUAGAGCACGUCCAUAUUGAAGGUUCUGAGGUUAAUUUACAAGAAAGGAAUAACUUAUUUUAAUGGCAUACACUUUUUGUGCUCACUUUUUUCAUUGUGAUGAAGGGGAAAAGAUGUUUUGGGAAUAUGUAAAGUAACAAGAAACUUGUGGUUUGGUUGUAGAGAGCUAUACAUAUUUAUUGUCAAAUCUUUUUGUGUUAGGCACAUCUUAUUGACGAACAAUUUUUCGGUGUGUCGGAAAACGGCUCGAUACACUAAGCGUAAUAAUAUAAUUGAAUAUAAAUUUGAAAAAAAAAAGUUGCAACCAAUUGUAUUGAUACUUGACACGCCAAUCGUGCUUCGGACAUUGAAAAAAUUCUCUUAAUUGACGACUAGGACCAGAUAAUGUAUGGCAUGAUUCAUGGAUAUGUAAGUGCAACGUAGACAACACAAAAGUCUAUGUAGGGUUGGAGUAUUUAUAAUUUAAAAAUUCUCUUAGUCCAACUGUUUUGCCAACUUUUAUGUAACUUUCUUCCAUGAAAUGAAUUAUAAAGAAAGAUUUUCAAAGUAUAAAUUUUAUAUAAAACACUUAGAGGGAGUUGGAGAAAAAAAAACUUAAUUAGUUGGUAACUUAGAUGUUUUUUUUCAACUGGUUUUUAGUUGUGAAAUCUUCAGUGUCUUUAUUUAUGUCAUUCUCUAAUUUAUUAUGAAAUAGACUUAAAACUCAAGUGGUAAGACACCUAUUAUUGUGUUUAGUUCCCUCACCUCUUAAUAAAUAAGUCGUAAUUCACUAUUUUUUAAUACAAGUGGUCGGGGCAAAUUUCAAACCUAUAUUUCACACAACACAUCAUGUAUUCUCUCUUUGAAGUUGAUGAAUUACACGAUGGUGCCCUGGGGGAGGUUAAAAUGUCUAUGUGAGUCUUCUAGACUCUCAAAUAGUAGAUUGUCACAGCGAAGCGACCAACUGAUCCCCUUUAAUAAAAGAAACACAAUAAAGUUGAAGAUGAAAGGCUUGACCACAAAACAAUCCACUACUUACAAUGGUAAAUAAUUACUAAUAGUAAUAUUUUUUUUUAACAAGCAAUAGUAUUUACACUAAGGGGUGGGAGUUUGUCAUAAUAAUAUGGUUCAAUUUUACCUUUGAUGAGAAUCGAAUUUAAAACAUCUCAUAUACAAGCGAAAAUAAAUAUUACUAAUUUGAAAUACUAAGUGACACUAAUAGCAAUAUUAUUUACAAUCUUAUAUUUUCAUACUCUAUAUGCACUCAACUUCAUCCUUUUAUUCCUACAAUUGGUCAUCAUUCAACAAAGCCCCACAUGAUGACCCUCCAAAUGUCACCAUUUAGGACGUCCAAAUUGUGUCCAUGUUUCCAAUUUUGCUUGUUUUAUUUCAUCAAAAAAAAAAAAAAAAGCAUAUUUGGGUUCAAUGUUUUGGUUGGUCUUGGAAUAAAGUUGUUAACCCCCGGAAGCUCUUUUCCUUCGCAAUUAAGAAAGUCCCAAAAGUAGAGGGCCGAAACAUGCACGUACAUGCACUACUAGUCACUACUAGCCAUUUUCGAUUUUACCAAGGAAACACACAUCAUUGCUUCUGUUUUCCUUUUUCUUUUUUCUUCCCUCACGUAUCGGAAAGAGAUUUUUCAGUGUAUCAAAAACACAAUUCGGUACAUUAACUGUCAUAAUACAAUAAUUUGAAACUUGAAAAAAAAAUUUCAAUCAAUUGAGCCGUAUUCCUGGCACAUUGAAAAAUUUCUCUAUAGGAUAUAUACCAUUUUCACAAAUGCAAACUUGAUUGACAAUCUCGUUUGAAACUGUUUUUUAUUUUUAUUUUUUUUAACACUUCUAUUCACAAACACUUCUAGUAAAAUUGUUUUUAUUAAAAGCGCAUAAAUAAAAAUACUAAGGGUUAGCUUUUGUUGCCAAACAUAUCGUUAUGUUCUAUCAUCGAAGUUAGGAAUCCAAAAUAUAUAUAAAUUCUUACAAUAAAUCAAUUUUUAUGAAUUUAUUUGGUGGCCAUUUUAUGUGAUAAAUACGAUACAACCAAGUAUAAAUUCGGCCCAAAGAGAUUUAUUGGAGAAACUUAAAUUAGAUACGGGUGAUGUUAGUAAGAAAAUAAGAAACCAACAAAAGUAAAAGAUCAAAACAGAGAACAAAAGAUCAAACACCAUUUUUGGUCUGGAUUUAGCAAAUAUUUACUUAGAAGGAUAUUGUAGCAAAUUUGGAUUCAAACAUUGCUUGGUAAGAAAAAGAAUUAAUAUUGUAAUAUAAUUUAUUUAUUUUCCUGGAUAAUAAUAAAACAUAAUUUAGGAAAAUUAAGCUACUUAACAAGCUGGACAUAAUUACAAUUAUACUUUUUGAACAUCAAACAAGUUAAAUAAUAGAGACAUUAACACAAUAAUCUAGAGUCACAUUCAAUUCAAAUUAUCUUAUUCGUUGUAUCAGGAUUUUCAUGAUAGAUAUGUGUGUUAAGUCAAUGUGUUUGUUUGUCGCAUCCAAUUCAUAAUAGAUGAAUUUUAUAUGUGUUAGACUAAUUAUCUAAAGUACUGUGUCGUUUUGUCUCAUAUAAUUACAUUCUCACCAUGAUAAUAAAAUAGGCCCAAAUGGAGAGCACAAUGUAUAUUUAAUUAUUAUAUUUUAUUUUUUAUGAAAAACAAUUAUUUUAUUUUUAUCUCCUCCCUUUAUCUAUGUCUAUUUUUUUUUUGUUUUUCCGAAUUUUACUAUAAUUUCCUGCCCCCUCUAUAUAUACCACACUCUAGCUUCUUUCUCAGUUAUUCAUUUCUUCUCCAAUUCUCUGCUUCCCUUUCUGUCUCUGUGCGAUCCUCAUCAAAACCCUAAUCUUGAUCGCGAAGAAGCUCAAAUUUCCUCUUAUCACUCUCGAAAAAUCGAAGCUUGACGAUCCGAUCGUCGUCAAACAGCCGCUACAAAACGUUCCUCACUUCAAUUUUAGUUGCCGCAUAAUUUUAAUUUCCCCAAUUCAGUCUCUGCUCUUCGAUCAAUUCUUGGUUUUUUAGCGAUUGAUCGGGUACCAAUUCAAGGCGGUUCUCAAUCGUGCAAUGCUUUCAGUUCCAAUAUGAAGUUAAAGAGAAGGAGGGCGGUUGAAGUGGUCAGUAUAUUUCACCUGUGGAAUCGAUUAGAUUCUUGUAUGCAUACUGCGCAUAAUAUAUAUAUGUAUGUGUUUGUACAUGAUUAAAGUACUGGGUUUUCCCUAUGUUUUGAUUUCGAGAAGAAGUUGAUGGUUCUGGGUUAUGUUCUUUUUCUCUUUUUUUUUUUCUCAUUUCCCAGUGAGUGGCACUUUUGUAUGCAAUUGCUUAUAUAAUUCGUUUUGGGCAUCUAUCAAUUUGAUGUUUUCUUUGGUUGUUUAACUAGGGACUGAUACAAGAUAAGAAAGUUUAAUUUUUUUUACCUUAUUAUUGAAUUGUUUAUAUAAUUCGGAGUACGAAAAUGCAAACAUAUUCAGCUUAUGAAGUGAGGUUUUCAUUCUUGCAUGAGGAUUACAACCAGUACUAGGAAGAUCCUAGAGACAUGAUUAUACAUGAUUAUUCAUGACCAACCCAGUUGACUGUAUUAGUUUCGUUAUUGUUUCUUAGUUCAAAGAGUUAUUUUCUCCAUCGAAUGUCUAUAUGACUUUAUAUGUUUUUGUUGAAAUUGCUAGCAUUGAGAGAGAGAGAGAGAGAGAGAGAGAGAGAGAGAGAGAGAGAAGAAGAGGAGGGGGUGGAGGUUUGGUCGGUUCGUCAGUCUGUUUAUCAGUGUGUUAACGUUCAUGGAGCAAAUGUCAUGCAUGACAGAUUAUUUUGUCGAAAAAGAAGUUUUAAUCUUUUUAUAAGGAGGCAAUAUCUAGAUGGAACAAGAUUAAUUGGUUUUGACAUUUAUGCUUUAAUGUUUUGUAGAAAAUGUGUGGAAACUGGAUAAUUGUUACAGCAAGGUGAAGUUAGGAGUUCGUCGUUUUCUUUAAGACUUUCGCUAUGCAUUAAACAUGUGUGAAGUUAGGAGUUCGUUCGCUAUGCAUUAAACAUGUGUGAAGUUAGGAGUUCGUUGUUUUCUUUAAGACUUUUCUAUGCAUUAAAAUAUGUGGGACUUAGAUGUAUGAAUUGUUUUCAAGUUAUAAAUUUAGUACAUUCACAUCACACAGAAUAAAAUUUUGCUCAAACGGAUACUGCGCUUAGCUAAAAGUGUGAGAUGAAAUGGUGAGUGCGUGAAUGAUCUUAGUUCCUUAUAUGCAUCUCUUUGAAUAUGUCACUCUUAAGAUUUUCAGUAAUUAAAUUUUAUUAAGUGAACUUAACCAUAUUAUGUUAAGGUUCAUUAAGGUCAAUCCAAGCCACCUCAAUCCUUUCUUUAAAGGUACCAGACAAGUGUGGCACUAUUAACAACAUCUAUUAACAACAUUUUAACUUGUGUGCUUCUUGAAACUUUUUGACAUUAGUUUCAAUGUUGUUUAUUUCCUGUUAGUAGUAUGGAGACUUCUAACAAAGUGAUAGGGGGUAAUGUGUGUUAAAACAAAUUAUCUCUAGGAUAUGGUCUUGUUUGCACUAUGUUGUGUGUACCCUUCUCAUUGUUUGCACACCUUGAACAUCCCUUAUUGCACUUGAAGAACUUAUGUUUACAAAUAAGUCAUCUAUUUAUUGUUUAUUUGUUGUCUCUGUGGUACUGGGUACUAAUUUUAUAUAAAAGCAAUUUGGCGAGUCUGCAAAGUACUAACAACUAUUUGUUUGGUCUUGUUUUGUUUCAGCCCCCAAAAAUUAGAUCCUUCAUCAAUAGUGUCACUGCCGUUCCCUUUGAGAAUAUAGAGGAACCUCUGAAAGGUUUCAUCUGGGAGUUCGAUAAGGUGAUUUUAUUACCUUUAACUGUUACAUUAAUACAGUUAUUUACAUGCAAUAUGAUUUAUAUGCUUUUAUUUCUGGUGCAGGGAGAUUUCCAUCAUUGGGUUGAUCUUUUCAACCAUUUUGAUUCAUUUUUUGAGAAGCACAUAAAAUCCAGGAAGGAUUUGCAGGUUGAUGAUAAUUUUCUAGACACUGAUCCUCCUUUUCCGAGAGAAGCUGUUCUUCAAGUUCUCCGUGUAAUAAGGAUAAUUUUGGAGAAUUGCACAAAUAAGCACUUCUACAGUUCUUAUGAGGUAAAAUUUCCAUCAUUCACCUCUCCGUCGUUGGUGUGUAAUUUUCAGUUGUUUAUUAUUAGUUAGUUUUUAUUCCUUCUAGAUAUACAAUUAUACCAUUAUUGCUUUUUGGGUAUUGUAUAUGGGAUGAAGGCUUAUUUUUAGCUGGGUUGUGAUAAUUAACAACUCUGAUUAUUGUGCAUUUGAUUGUGUUAAUUUUUAUUCUUUACAUCAGUCAAUUUCAUUUAUUUUCAAUUCCUCCUUUUCCCAUUCAUUAGUUUUAUGUCUUUGUUUCAUAUGUUAUUGCAGCAGCAUCUUUCAUCUCUUCUUGCUUGCACUCAUGCGGAUGUGGUUGAGGGUUGCCUGCAGACAUUGGCUGCAUUUUUAAAGAAAACAGUUGGAAAGUAUUCCAUUAGGGAUGCUGCACUAAAUUCAAAGUUAUUCGCUCUUGCACAAGGUUGGGGGGGAAAAGAAGAGGGUCUUGGAUUAAUUGCUAGUGCAAUACAGAAUGGUUGUGACCCUGUUGCUUACGAGUUAGGCUGCACCCUUCAUUUUGAGUUCUAUGCAUCAAAUGAUUCAACAGGUGACAUCCCUGCCAACCAAGGUUUACAAAUCAUUCACUUACCCAACAUCAAUACUCAUCCAGAGACGGAUCUUGAGCUUUUGUGUAAGUUAAUUGCCGAGUACAAAGUACCCUCUAGCUUAAGAUUUUCUUUAUUGACAAGAUUGCGGUUUGCAAGGGCUUUUGGCUCUGUAGCUACUCGGCAGCAGUAUGCAUGCAUCCGCUUGUAUGCCUUCAUAGUUCUUGUUCAAGCAAAUAGUGAUGCUGACGACCUUGUUUCUUUCUUCAAUGCUGAACCUGAGUUUAUCAAUGAAUUAGUGUCAUUGUUGAGCUUUGAGGAUGUGGUUCCUGAGAAAAUUCGAAUUCUCUGUCUUCUUUCACUGGUUGCUCUUUGUCAAGAUCGAUCCCGGCAGCCUACUGUUUUAACUGCUGUCACAUCUGGUGGGCAUCGUGGAAUCCUGUCCAGUCUCAUGCAGAAGGCCAUUGAUUUUGUCACCAAAGAUACAUCAAAGUGGUCUGUUGUUUUUGCUGAGGCUCUAUUGUCUCUUGUCACAGUUUUGGUGUCAUCAUCAUCAGGUUGUUCAGCCAUGCGUGAAGCUGGUUUUAUUCCCACCCUUCUGCCUUUGCUUAAAGAUACAGACCCGCAACACCUUCAUUUGGUCAGCACAUCUGUGCACAUUUUAGAAGCUUUUAUGGAUUACAGUAAUCCUGCUGCUGCAUUGUUUCGGGAUUUGGGUGGUUUAGACGAUACAAUCUCUCGCCUACAGGUGGAAGUGUCUCAUGUAGAAAAUGGCUCAAAGCAUGAAGAUGAUGAUUCUGACAUCAUUGGGAGUAGUGCACAAGUAGCUGUAGGAACUUCCACAGAGCUAGACAGCAUGCAGCCUUUGUAUUCAGAACCACUGGUUUCAUAUCACAGACGAUUGCUUAUGAAAGCUCUAUUGCGUGCUAUAUCCCUGGGGACUUAUGCCCCUGGAAAUACUGCUCGUGUUUAUGGCUCAGAGGAGAGUCUAUUGCCACAAUGCUUAUGCAUAAUAUUUAAAAGGGCAAAGGAUUUUGGUGGUGGGGUAUUCUCACUUGCGGCAACUGUCAUGAGUGAUCUAAUACACAAAGAUCCUACCUGUUUUCCAGUUUUAGAUGCAGCAGGCCUUCCUUCUGCCUUCUUGGAUGCUAUAAUGGAUGGUGUUCUUUGCUCUGCAGAAGCCAUUACAUGCAUACCACAGUGUCUGGAUGCCCUAUGUUUAAAUACUACUAAUGGUCUUCAGGCUGUGAAAGAUCGCAAUGCUUUGAGGUGCUUUGUGAAGAUAUUUACUUCAAGAACUUAUCUGAAGGCCCUGACCAGUGACACACCAGGUUCGUUAUCUAGUGGAUUGGAUGAGUUAAUGCGCCACGCUUCCUCAUUGCGUGGGCCUGGAGUGGAUAUGCUGAUUGAGAUCUUAAAUGCCAUUUCAAAAAUUGGACAUGGGGUUGAUGCUUCGUACAUGUCAAUUGAUCCUUUGGGCUCUUCUACUCCUGUUCCCAUGGAAACAGAUGGAGAAGAGAGGAAUUUGGUCAUGUCUGAUAAUGGGGAAUCAUCCAAAACGGAGAGUUCAGAGCAGACUGUGGAACCACCUUCUGAUUCUUCAGUGGGGAAUGUUGAAUUAUUUCUUCCUGAUUGUGUGAGCAAUGUUGCACGUCUUCUUGAAACAAUACUUCAGAAUGGUGACACAUGUCGUAUAUUUGUGGAGAAGAAGGGGGUUGAAGCUGUCCUGCAGUUAUUUACCUUGCCUUUGAUGCCUCUUUCUGUUUCAGUUGGCCAGAGUAUUUCUGUCGCAUUUAAGAACUUCUCACCACAACAUUCUGCUUCUUUGGCUCGGGCAGUAUGUUCAUUCUUGAGAGAGCAUCUGAAAUCAACAAAUGAACUUUUAGUUUCAGUUGGAGGGACUCAACUUGCUUUGGUGGAAUCUGUGAAGCAAACUCAAGUUUUGAGACAUCUUUCCAGUCUUGAAGCUAUUCUGUCUCUGUCUAAUGUUCUGUUGAAAGGGACGACUACUGUGGUGUCUGAACUGGGUGCAGCUGAUGCUGAUGUAUUGAAAGAUCUCGGGAGCACCUACCGGGAAAUAAUUUGGCAAAUCUCUCUGUGCAAUGAUGUCAAGUCAGAUGAGAAGAUCAAUGCUGAACAAGAACCAGAGAGUGCUGAGGCAGCUCCGACUAAUGCUUCUGGAAGGGAGAGUGAUGAUGAUGCAAAUAUUCCAAUGGUGAGAUAUAUGAACCCAGUUUCUAUCAGGAAUCAGCCCUUGUGGGGUGGAGAACGUGAGUUUCUAUCAGUUGUUCGCUCUGGUGAAGGUUUGCACCGUCGUAGUCGUCAUGGUUUUACACGCAUAAGGGGUGGAAGGACAGGCCGGCAUUUGGAGGCUUUAAAUGUUGAUUCUGAAUCUUCCUCAACGGUAUCAGAGACAUCUACUUCCCAAGAUUUGAAAAAGAAAAGUCCUGAUGUUCUUGUGAUAGAAAUCCUCAACAAGCUGGCUUCCACACUGCGUUCCUUCUUCACAGCUCUUGUCAAGGGAUUCACAUCACCAAAUCGGCGUAGAGUCGACUCUGGGUCGUUGAGUUUGGUUUCCAAGACUCUUGGAACUGCCCUAGCUAAAAUAUUUCUCGAGUCUCUUAGCUUCUCUAGGCAUUCUACAUCAACUGGGCUCGAUACAUCACUGUCAGUCAAGUGUCGAUAUCUUGGCAAAGUUGUCGAUGAUAUGGUAUCACUUACAUUUGACAGCAGGCGACGUACUUGUUAUACUGCAACAGUAAAUAAUUUCUAUGUCCAUGGUACUUUUAAGGAGCUGCUUACAACAUUUGAAGCUACUAGUCAGUUGUUGUGGACACUACCAUACUCCGUGUCAACGUCAGGUAUUGAUCCCGAAAGGACAGGUGAAGGAAGUAAACUGUCCCACAGUUCGUGGCUGCUUGAUACUUUACAGAGCUAUUGCCGUGUGCUCGAGUAUUUUGUUAAUUCUUCUUUACUCUUAUCCACAACCUCUGCUUCUCAAGCACAGUUGCUUGUUCAGCAGCCAGUUGCAGUUGGUUUGUCAAUUGGGCUUUUCCCUGUGCCAAGGGACCCAGAAGUUUUUAUUCGUAUGCUGCAAUCUCAAGUUCUUGAUGUGAUACUUCCUGUCUGGAACCACCCUUUGUUUCCAAAUUGUAGUCCAGGUUUCAUUGCUUCUAUUGUCUCGCUUGUCAUGCAUGUAUAUUCUGGUGUUGGAGAUGUGAAGCAGAAUCGCAGUGGCAUUGCUGGAAGUACAAACCAGCGAUUCAUGCCCCCACCACUUGAUGAAAAUACUAUUACCACCAUUGUUGAGAUGGGUUUUCCAAGGGCUAGGGCAGAGGAAGCUCUUAGGCGGGUGGGAACAAAUAGCGUUGAAAUGGCCAUGGAGUGGCUCUUUAGUCAUCCUGAGGAUCCUGUGCAGGAUGAUGAUGAACUGGCUCGAGCACUUGCUCUUUCACUGGGAAAUUCAUCAGAUGCAUCUAAAGCUGAGAGUGUUGAAAAGCCUGUUGAUGUGCCGGCAGAAGAGGGUUGUGUGAAAGCUCCUCCUGUUGAUGAUGUCCUUGCAGCGUCGGUUAAAUUACUUCAAAGUAAUGAUACCAUGGCAUUCCCUUUGACAGAUUGCUUGUGACACUUAGCAACCAGAACAAAGGGGAAGACCGUCCAAGAGUUGUAUCUUAUCUUACUCAGCAGCUAAAGAAUUGUCCAUUGGAUUUUUCUAAUGAUACCAGUGCGUUGAGUAUGGUGUCACAUGUUAUUGCAUUACUUCUUUCUGAGGAUGGAAGCACAAGGGAAGUCGCUGCACAGUAUGGUAUUGUGACUACUGCAACAGAUAUCUUGAUGAACUUUAAGGGCAAAGAUGAGUCAGGCAAUGAGCUUCUUGUCCCAAAAUGUAUCAGUGCUCUACUGCUUAUUUUGGAUAACAUGUUGCAAUCAAGGUCCAGAAUUUCUGAAAAGGUUGAAGAUACUCAGACAGGGCCUUUACCUGAAUUAUCUGGAGAGCGUAUGUCAAUCCCUGCAUCAGAUACAGAGAAAAAACAGCUUAUGGAUGCCUAUGAAAAGGAUUCUGCCACAGCAUUUGAGAAAAUAUUGGGGAAAUCUACUGGUUAUUUGACUAUGGAAGAGAGUCAUAAAGUGCUAGCAGUUGCUUGUGACUUGAUAAAGCAGCAUGUCCCAGCAAUGAUCAUGCAGGCUGUUUUACAAUUAUGUGCUCGCUUGACAAAAACUCAUGCUCUAGCUUUACAAUUCCUUGAAAAUGGAGGCUUGGCAGCUCUAUUUGGCCUUCCAAGAAGUUGUUUUUUCCCGGGAUAUGAUACUGUUGCAUCUGCUAUUGUUCGCCAUCUCCUUGAAGAUCCACAAACACUGCAAACAGCAAUGGAAUUGGAGAUUCGCCAAGCCCUGAGUGGAAACAGGCAUGGUGGGCGCACUUCUGCACGAACGUUCUUGACAUCAAUGGCACCUGUAAUCUCUAGAGAUCCAGUAGUUUUUAUGAAAGCUGCUUCUGCAGUUUGUCAGUUGGAGACAUCAGGAGGUAGAACCUUUGUUCUGUUAUUGAAGGAAAAGAGAAGGAAAAGGAAAAAUCUAAAGCAGUAGGUGAUGAGGCUGGAUUAUCUUCCAAUGAGUGUGUACGGAUUUCUGAAAAUAAGAUACAUGAUGGAUCUGGUAAAUGCGCAAAAAGUCACAAGAAGAUCCCUGCCAAUCUCACUCAAGUGAUAGAUCAGCUUCUUGAAAUAGUCUUCAAAUACCAUUUCCCAAAUAGCCAGGAAGACUAUUCGAAUAACCCAUCUGCUAUGGAAGUAGAUGAACCCUCUAUGAAGGUGAAGGGUAAAUCAAAGGUUGACGAGACAAGGAAAGUGGAGUCAGAAUCUGAAAGAUCUGCAGGGUUGGCUAAAGUUACCUUUGUUCUCAAAUUACUGAGUGAUAUCCUUCUUAUGUAUGUACAUGCAGUUGGGGUUAUACUUAAACGGGAUUUAGAAAUGACUCAGUUGCGGGGAUCUAAUCAAACAGAUGGUCUUGGACAUGGUGGUAUACUUCACCAUGUAAUUCAUCGAUUGCUUCCACGCACCAUUGAUAAAUCUGCUGGACCUGAUGAAUGGAGAGACAAACUGUCUGAAAAAGCUUCUUGGUUCCUGGUAGUUCUGUGUGGUCGUUCCAGUGAAGGGCGCAGACGAGUAAUUAGUGAACUUGUAAAGGCUUUAUCCUCGUUUUCGAAUUUGGGAUGUACUUCCACCAAGAGCAUCUUAUUACCGGAUAAAAGCGUUUAUGCUUUUGUUGAUUUGGUGUAUUCAAUUUUGUCAAAAAAUUCAUCAUCCAGCAACUUACCUGGUUCUGGGUUUUCACCAGACAUAGCAAAAAGCAUGAUAGAUGGGGGAAUGAUUCAGUGUCUGACUGGUAUCCUCCGGGUGAUUGACUUAGACCAUCCUGAUGCUCCCAAAACUGUGAAUUUGAUACUCAAGACGUUAGAAAGCCUAACAAGGGCUGCUAAUGCUAGUGAGCAAUACUUUAAAUCUGAUGAGACGAGCAAGAAAAAAUCCACAGGGUUGAAUGGAAGUUCUGACGAUCAGGUAACUGCCCCAUCAGCUGAUACUACUGUGGGGGAUAAUCAGAAUGCAAGCAGUGAACAGGGUGUGAGAGACGUCGUACAGGUUGUUCAAGGGGAUCAAGGAAUUUCUGAAAGUGAAGGUAAUCCUGAAGUAAAUCUGAUCCAGUUGGUGGAACAAGAUAUGAGGAUAGAAGUUGAAGGACCAAUAGCUUCUAAUCCACCCAUGGAGCUUGGGAUGGAUUUCAUGCGUGAGGAGAUGGAUGAAGGUAAUGUACUACACAACACUGAUCAAAUUGAGAUGUCUUUUCGUGUUGAGAAUAGGACAGAUGAUGACAUGGCUGAUUUAGAAAACGACAUGGGUGAUGAUGGUGAGGAUGACGACGAGGGAGAGGACAUGGCUGAUUUAGAAAAUGACAUGGGUGAUGAUGGUGAGGAUGAUGAGGAUGAUGAUGAGGGAGAGGAUGAGGAUGAGGAUAUAGCAGAGGGCGGUGGUGGCAUGAUGUCACUUGCUGAUACUGAUGUGGAAGACCAUGAUGAUACCGGCUUGGGAGAUGAUUACAAUGAUGGGAUGAUUGAUGAAGAUGAUGAUGAUUUUCAUGAGAAUCGUGUCAUAGAAGUGAGAUGGAGAGAAGCCCUUGAUGGGCUUGAUCAUUUGCAGGUACUUGAACAACCUGGAGCUGGAAGUGGUCUCAUUGAUGUUGCUGCUGAACCUUUUGAAGGUGUUAAUGUGGAUGACUUGUUUGGUCUGAGAAGGCCGAUAGGUUUUGAUCGCCGCCGUCAGACAAGUAGGUCUUCCUUUGAGCGAUCUGUUGCAGAAGCAAAUGGAUUUCAACAUCCUCUCCUUUUAAGACCAUCCCAGUCUGGGGAUUUGGUCUCAAUGUGGUCAGCAGGUGGAAAUUCAUCCAGGGAUUUAGAAGCUCUGUCAUCAGGGAGCUUUGAUGUUGCUCAUUUCUACAUGUUUGAUGCUCCUGUUCUACCUUAUGAUCACGUACCAAGCAAUCUUUUUGGUGACCGGUUGAGUGGUGCUGCACCCCCACCAUUGACUGAUUAUUCAGUAGGUAUGGACUCAUUGCAGUUAUCGGGGAGAAGAGGGCCAGGUGAUGGUCGAUGGACUGAUGAUGGCCAGCCUCAAGCAGGUCCUCAAGCUGCUGCUAUUGCACAAGCAGUGGAGGAACACUUUAUAUCGCAAUUACGCAGUCUUGCUCCAGCUGAUAUCCCUGCUGAACGACAGUCCCAGAACUCAGGAGUGCAGGAGAAACAGCCAGAUCUCCCUCCUUUAAGUGAUAGUCAAGUAGCAGGGGAGUGCAAUGACAGCCAUGAAAGAAAUGAAGAUCAGCGUCAAGAUGGGGUUGAUGAAACAACACAUCAAGUUAACUCAAGUUCUGACACUGCUCCCUGUCAAGAACAAGUCAAUCCAGAAUCUAUAGUCGAAGGUGCAGGGGAGUUCUUACAAGCACCUGAACCAAUGUCAAUUAUGCCACCUUCAACGAACAGUACACCAAGCGAUAGCAUGGACAUUGGUGAUGGAAAUGGUGCUGCUGGUGAGCAAGUAGGGUCAGUGCCAGGUUCUGUCAACUCGUCUGCAGAAAUAAGUGCUGGUUUACAAUGUGAAGGGGGUUCUGUGCCUUCUAAUCCCCAUGAUGUUACUGUGGAGGCUGUGGGUUGUGAUAGAUCCUCAAGAGCAGAGGGUCAGGUUGGUAAUGUGUCGGCAAGUUUGGGUUUCAAUGUGCCUAAUCCAGGUGAUUCUCAUACUUCUUUGGUGCCAACAAAUAUUGACGUUGAUAUGAAUUACAUUGGUGAAAUAAAUGAAUUGGCCAUCCCAUGCCUACUUUUGAAAAUCGUACAGUUGAACCAUCAAGGGAAAACACAACUGUUGCUCCAGAAGCUAAUCAGGCUGAACAAGAUUUGAAUAAUGAGGCUGCUGGUGCUAAUACAAUUGAUCCGACCUUCUUGGAUGCUUUACCUGAAUAUUUGAGGGCCGAAGUUCUUGCUUCACAACAAGCUCAGCCGGUUCAACCUCCAUCUUAUGCACCACCUUCUGCAGACGACAUUGAUCCUGAGUUUUUAGCAGCCCUUCCUCCAGAUAUCCAAGAAGAAGUUUUGGCUCAACAAAGAGCACAAAGGGUUGCACAUCAGGCUGAGGGACCAGUUGACAUGGACAACGCUUCAAUAAUUGCUACUUUUCCUGCUGAUUUACGUGAAGAGGUUUUCAUCUGGAACUGCAUCUUUCAUGACCUUGAUUGUAAUGAUUAUUUGUCUUAUAUAUGUAAUUUUUCUCUUGGUCCAGGUACUUUUAACUUCUUCAGAAGCAGUUCUGUCUGGAUUGCCUUCUCCAUUGCUCGCUGAAGCCCAAAUGCUAAGAGACCGAGCAAUGAGUCAUUAUCAGGCUCGCAGCCUUUUUGGAACCAGCCAGAGGCUAAACAACCGGAGAAAUGGAUUGGGUUUUGAUCGGCAGACGGUGAUGGACAGAGGUGUUGGAGUCACAAUUGGCCGGAGGGCAGUUUCUGCUCUUGCAGACAGCUUAAAGGUUAAGGAAAUCGAAGGAGAGCCACUUCUGGAUGCCGAUGAAUUGAAAGCCUUAAUUAGGCUAUUACGAUUAGCGCAGGUAAAUUCAUAUUCCAAUUAAUGGUAAUUGGAGUGUUUAUAACUGGUUAUGAAAGUUUUAUGUUUCGUUGAAAUAUGAAUAUUAGGUUUUCUUUUUAAAAAAUCCAUAUAUGGUUAGAAAGUUUGGAGGUUUGAACAAAUUUAUGUGUACUAUAUAAGUGUUAAAGCUCCUGUUGAUGGGAAUAAUAAUGUGUAAAAAACGUCAUAUGAAGAAUUUUCGGUUGGCUGAAGAGUAGAAAACCAAGUGGGUUAUAUUUUCUCAAUUUGUGCUUUAAAAGACCUCAAAAUAACGCAUUAUUUGAAAAUCGCAUGUACACAUACAUGUACUACUUUUUUUUUUUUUUUUUCUACAUACUGUCACAUAAAAUCAUUCAUUAAAUGACUAUCUUCUGCUAACAUGAUCCAUUUAUUUUUUUGUGUGUGGUUAGCCCCUGGGCAAAGGACUCUUGCAGAGGCUCUUGUUGAACUUAUGUACCCAUAGCGUUACACGAGCAAUCUUAGUUCGUCAUUUGCUUGAUAUGAUCAAACCUGAGGCUGAGGGCUCAGUCGGUGGAUUAGCAGCUAUUAAUGCUCAAAGGCUUUACGGUUGCAAUUCAAAUGUUGUUUAUGGUCGAUCACAGUUGUUAGAUGGUAAGUCAUCUGACGCUCCAACAGUUAUCUGCAAUACAUUUGUUUCUUCUAUUUAUGGACUAACAAUUUGUUUGCUUUAUAUUCAUUUUCAAUAGGUCUUCCUCCCUUGGUGCUACGUCGAAUUCUUGAGAUCUUGACUUAUUUGGCCACAAAUCAUUCUGCUGUGGCAAAUAUGUUAUUCUUCUUUGAUUUCUCUGGUGUUCCUGAGUCAUUAAGCCCUAUCCAUAUGGAAACCAAGAAGGACAAAGGCAAGGAGAAAAUUGGAGAAGGAGGAUCUUCAUCAAAACCAUCUGGAAACACCCAGGAUGUGGACAUUCCCCUGAUAUUGUUCCUGAAGCUCCUGAACCGACCUCAUUAUGGCACUGCUCAUCUUGAGCAGGUACUACCUACUCUAUGGUUAACCAGUUUAAAAUGACCUCGUGGAGAGAUUAGCUGCUGUUUGUCUAUUCAUUUAAAAGUGUAGUGUGUAAAUCCCUUGGUAGUUGUUAGGUAUCCACAUAUUUAGUACUUCAACUUGAGAGCUUAUAUGAAUUUAAGAUUGGAGUAAUUCAAUUGUUUGUAAUGUUUGACUCGUUAACUAUUCUGGACAAAGGCUAGUACCUGCUCCAUAACUUUAUUUCUCUCCUUAAAAAUUAAGAAAAAAACUAAGUAUAUGGUAGAGAACGUGUGUAUUGCUUGCCGUAUCUCUAGUUGUACAUGUGGAGUCAUAAUCUUGAUUAUUUUAUUGCUGAAGCAUGUCCUACAGCAUGAUCCUUUCAAAAAAAAUUAUAAUUCAGCACCAUCUCAUGUUUUUAAUUUUUUUUUUUUGUGUGCUACAGGUGAUGGGCCUGCUUCAGGUUGUUGUGUAUACUUCAGCUUCAAAAUUAGAGGGCCAGUCUCAAUCUGAGAGGGCAGAUAAGCCUGUUGGUGAAGCUUCAGGAGAUGGUCAAAAGGUUCCUCCUUUGGAAUCAGAAUCUAAUCAGGGAGAGAAGCCUGUUAGUGGUGAAUCAUCAACUUCAGAUGGAAAGAGGAGUACGGAUACAUAUAAUGUUUUCUUGAAGCUGCCAGAAUCUGAUCUACACAAUCUUUGCAGCCUUCUUGGUCGUGAGGGGUAUUAUUAGCUCACUAAUUCUUAUAUGUUCAUUCUUUGAACGUAGAUGCAGUAUUUGUCAGAUUAACUACUCUCUUCUUUGUGCUACUAUAUGAACUGUGUUUUUAUGAGUGUCUAAUCUGAGUCCAUUUACUUGAUUAGGCUUUCAGAUAAACUUUAUAUGCUUGCUGGUGAGGUCUUGAAGAAGUUGGCCUCAGUUGCAGCACCCCAUCGAAAACUAUUUGUCUCAGCGCUGUCAGAACUGGCUCAUCGCUUGAGUGCCUCAGCUGUUGGUGAGCUUGUUACUCUCCGGAACACACAUAUGCUGGGUUUGAGUGCCGGAUCAAUGGCUGGGUUAGCAAUCCUACGUGUAUUACAAGCACUUUGCUCUCUCACUUCACCUAGGGCUAGUGAGAAUUCAGGAUUGGAGAAUGAUGCGGAUCAGGAGGAGCAUGCCAUCAUGUGGAAACUAAAUGUUGCACUUGAGCCACUGUGGCUAGAAUUAAGCAACUGUAUAAGUGCGACUGAAACAGCACUGGGUCAGAGUACUUUUUGUCGAACCAUGUCUAUAGUAAAUACUGGGGACCAUGCACAGGGUUCUUCUUCGUCUCCUCUCCCUCCUGGAACCCAGAGACUCCUGCCUUUUAUGGAGGCUUUUUUUGUUCUGUGUGAAAAGCUACAAGAGAACCUCUCUACUAUGCUGCAAGACCAGGCGAAUGUGACUGCAAGAGAAGUCAAAGAGUCCUCUGGAAACUCAGAUCCUUCAACUACCAAGUGCCACAGUUGUGGGGAUUCUCAGAGAAAGCUUGAUGGUGCUAUUACAUUUACAAAGUUCGCUGAGAAGCAUCGCCGGCUUUUAAAUGCUUUUAUCAGGCAGAAUCCAGGUUUGUUGGAGAAAUCCCUUACUAUGAUGCUGAAGGCACCAAGGCUAAUUGAUUUUGAUAACAAAAGAGCAUAUUUCCGGUCAAGAAUUAGGCAGCAGCAUGAGCAACAUCUCUCUGGUCCUCUGAGAAUAAGUGUUCGGCGGGCAUACGUUUUGGAGGAUUCUUAUAAUCAGUUGCGCAUGCGGCCUACUCUGGACAUGAAGGGACGAUUAAAUGUCCAAUUCCAAGGGGAAGAGGGUAUUGAUGCUGGAGGUCUGACACGAGAGUGGUAUCAAUUACUGUCAAGGGUCAUAUUUGACAAGGGGGCAUUGCUUUUCACCACCGUAGGAAACAAUGCAACUUUCCAGCCAAACCCUAAUUCUGUCUACCAGACAGAACAUCUGUCUUAUUUUAAAUUUGUGGGCCGUGUGGUAAUUCUUCUGGACUAUUAUUGACUUUUUGAAACUGACUUUAUAAGCUUCUUCCGUCUGUGUUAGAUUUUUCUUUAACUUUUGCUGCUGUGAUAAUUUAUUCAGGUUGCAAAGGCACUUUUUGAUGGGCAACUUUUGGAUGUUUAUUUCACUCGAUCCUUCUAUAAGCAUAUACUUGGUGUAAAGGUGACUUACCAUGAUAUAGAGGCUGUGGAUCCUGAUUACUACAAGAAUUUAAAGUGGAUGUUAGAGGUUAGCGUGCUUUUGAUCACACUCUGAUUUUUAAGAGUUCAAGGUUGGAUUGGAAUGGGUUUCGUUGUAGGUUUUUAUAUCUUUUUAACUGAUCUAAAAUGUGUCAUAUUCGUUAUUCUGAAAUUCUCUGCAGGAUUAAGACUCAGUUCCUCUAUUGCGUAAGUUUCUUUAAUUUGAUUUUUUUUCUCGUGUCCAGAAUGACGUGAGUGAUAUUCCUGACCUGACGUUUAGCAUGGAUGCGGAUGAAGAAAAGCAUAUCCUUUAUGAGAAAAACCAGGUAUUUGAAUUUAUAUGUUACUUUUAAGUUCUGUUCUUUAUUUUUGAAAGCUUUUGGGUUUUCACGUAGUGUUAUUGUAAAGUCUUUACUUAAAUGCCAAUCUGAUUUUCAUUCAAUGUUAUAACAUUAAAUUGAGCUCGCGGGUUUGACUAAUGUUGUACUUGUUUGUUGUGUUUUCCUUUCUUUAUACCUUCUUGAAAAGGUUACUGAUUAUGAGCUGAAACCUGGAGGAAGAAAUAUUCGGGUUACAGAAGAGACGAAGCACGAGUAUGUUGACCUUGUAGCUGAACAUAUCUUGACAAAUGCUAUCCGACCUCAAAUUACUUCCUUCAUGGAGGGGUUUAAGGAAUUGGUCCCGCGAGAGCUUAUCUCAAUUUUCAAUGACAAGGAGCUUGAGCUACUUAUCAGUGGUCUUCCAGAGAUAGAUUGUGAGUUGCAUUUAAAAUGAGCUUAUUACAUAAUUGAUAUGGUCUUUUGUUUCUCUUGUGAUAUCUGAAUGGUGGCAUUGUCCUUACAGUGGCUGAUUUGAAGGCCAAUACCGAGUACACUGGCUACACAUCAUCAUCUGAUGUUGUUAAAUGGUUCUGGGACGUGGUUGAAAGUUUCGACAAGGAGGACAUGGCAAGACUGCUGCAAUUUGUGACUGGAACAUCAAAGGUAACUGUUUGUACUACAAAAGAAAUAUGAAAAUAGUAUAUAUACUUCUCCAUAUCCGCUGGUUCACGACUAAAAGGGAUUUUGUAUGUGCUUUUGUACUUUCUGAGUGUAUGCGACCCCUCUUUUCCCUUGUCCCAUCCCUUUUUCCCAACAACCCAACCCCUCCCUUUAUAAUGUUCAUAACUUUUUUAAAGGGUCCGUUGAAGUGUGACUUGCGUUGAUUUUACCUUGAUAUCAUUUGUCAAUUUCAUUUCCUUUUUUUCACAGGGUCCGUUGGAAGUGUGACUUGCGUUGAUUUUACCUUGAUAUCAUUUGUCAAUUUCAUUUCCUGUGAACAUGGUUUUUCACAAUGCGCAUGUUGUCUCAUUGAACUUUGCCAUUGUAUAAUGAUUGGAGAUGGCAUGCGUAGCUAAUGAUUUAAAUGUAUGCUUGCAACAUGAUGCAUAUGUGGGGGCAAAUUUUUGUACUCGGUAAAACUAACAUAUUUGUGACUUUCAGGUUCCAUUGGAAGGUUUCAGGGCUUUGCAAGGUAUCUCUGGUCCUCAGAAAUUUCAGAUCCACAAGGCUUAUGGAGCUCCUGACAGGCUACCUUCUGCUCAUACAUGGUUAGUGUAAACAUAAUUUGAAAAAGUUAGUUUCUUUGAAAAAGUCAGUUUCUUUGUCCCCUUCACAUUCUCGUCAAGCUCGAUGUUUCUAAUGUAGUCCUAUGUCUUUUCCAGCUUUAACCAGCUAGACCUUCCUGAGUACACCACCAAAGAACAGCUUCACGAACGAUUGAUACUUGCUAUUCAUGAAGCUAGUGAAGGAUUUGGCUUUGGUUGACAGAAGGAAUCUCAGCAGAUAUUUCCCCAGCAUUCCAGUCAUCGGUCGUAUAGUUAGCAUGUACAUGUCAGUUCGACAUCUUUUUUCUUUCCUUAUUUCGAAAACCUUGGUUAAUCUUUUCUGAAAUCAACUUAAUUGUAAUUCGUUUGUUUCUUUCUUAUUCUCCACCAUUCUUUGCGCAGAUGAAAGAACCCGGUUCCUGAAUUUUGUCUUCCAGUAUUACAGCAACUUCUGAGGAAACCGAUGAUGGAUUUUGUAAAGAAUUCCGAAAGCAUUAUCUAUUGACGGGAGGCCGGCAAGCUUCUCAGGUGACAAUGGAUUGGAAUCUUAGAAAUUCUUUAGCGAAUUCUUUACAUGUCGGAAAAUUGGGGAUUCGGUACAGAUGGACGUGGAUAGAAAAUCUGUUUUGGUGUUCAUAGUAGAUAUCUGUUUUAGAUUAGUCAGUUUUCACUUUCUCCGACCUGAAUGUUUGGUAAUAAGCCUAGGAACAUAUUUAUGUAUAUGUAAUUCCAGAUGGUUUCUUUUGGGUUUCAAUUUAUUUAAAGGCGAGAAGGUGAUUCCAAUUUUGCUCCUUCAAUUUUAUUUGUGCACUCGGACAUGCUGACAUGCCCUCUUGUUCGUGGUUCUUGCGAGAGAAACUCGUCUGGCUUUGGCGGUAUCCUAAGCCAAACCGUGUUUUGUCAUUUGCUAAUGGCAAUGCAUGAUUAGCUUAGGAUACUGUAACAAUUACAUCCUCUUUCCUGAAAGUCCUCGUGAUUUGCCGGAUUCGUAACCAUUUUUCGACAAUGCAGUACGCAAAGGGGAGUAUUCUGGCCAAUUUGCCUGACUCGCGUAUGCACGACACCAUCCGUGUAGCCUUUUUGCCAUGAUUUUCUGUAAUUUUUCUUUGAACGUUCUAGAAAAUUAUGCUUAAAAAAGCUCCACACUUGAAAAUUUAUUAGUUUUCACGAAUGGAGCAAAAAUGCUUGAUUUUCCGUUGACAUUUGCUUUGAAAUACAGAGAAAAGAAGGGAUAAGAAAGGAAGGGUUUGUUCGACAUUGCCUUUGGAUGCUUUAGGCAACGUACAAUGUGGUUAGGAUUAUAAAAACAUUUUUUUAGUACUUUUGGGACAAGGUUCUUCGAUAAGUACUUCUAAAUGCUGUUCCACAAGAAAUUGGAUUCUUCAUGAAGAAAAUGGAAGUGUUGUUGCAUUCUCGUUUUCACCUCUACACUUCCACGUCCACCCCACCUCAGCCGUACAAUUGAUCCUAAUGACCAGUUUGGCACUCACCCCCUCCUACUCCACUGUGUUCCUAGAGCUAUUCUUUCCAGAAACGUCCCCAGUGAUCGCAAAGACGAGCGAAGGGAUGAGCAUUACUAUCUGCAUUAUGACAACCAUGCUUUUGAUUUGUACUGCAAGCUAGAAUUUCCAAUUGUUCCCAAGAUGAACGAAUCAAUUCGCGUGGUUGGCAUCUGUAAUGGGCUGGUGUUCCUUGCAGUUGCAGAUGAUACACUCACUUUGGCUAACACCUUCAUAAUAUUCAACCCAUCUAUGAGAAAGUCGGUGACCCUUCCUAAGCCGACAAUUGGUCGGUACCGUACUUGUAUUGGUUUUGGGUUUGACGCUGUGACUAAUGACUACAAAGUUGUGAGAUUUGUCACUGAUCGUCCGAAUACUUUUCAUGAGGAUUAUUCACUUGCUGGAGGCUCAUGGAGUAAUCCUCGUUCUUUGGAUCAUGUGUGCGAAGUUAUGGAUCCUCUCAAAUCCCAAGCUUUUGUAAAUGGGGCGAUUCACUGGGGGGCAUGGCGCCGCUUAACAAACAGUUAUGAAUAUAUCAUUUUGGCAUUUGACGUGGGCAGCAAUUCAUUUCACAGGAUCAUGGUGCCAAUGAGUUUCAGUAACUCAUGGACCGCGCAAUUGUCUGUUUCAGGUGACGGGAAAUCCAUUGCUCUGUUCCAGCCUUAUUUCAUCUGUAUUGGAGAGCCUCGUCUUAUUGUGAGUUCUUAUCCUCCGUUAUUGACUGUUUCGUUUUUGUUGUAUUUCCUCACUCACUCUGUGUCUACGAAAUUGGCAGCCGGGGAAGUGAAGUUUGAAGCAAUGGUUAGCAGUUUGCCCAAGGAAAUCGUACAUGAUAUCGACUACCUCCUAAAGCUUUGAUCAGGUGCACCUCGGUGUGCAAGCCUUGGAACUCCACGAUAAAAAAAACCCCCAGCUUUAUUCGCACCCAUCUCAGUCGUAACAUCACUCUUAAUAACCAGCUUGGCACCCACCUCCUCCUUCUGCACUGUGUUCGCGGAGACAAUCCAGUGCAGCAGAAUUAAUAUUUGCAUUAUGAUAACCCUGGUUUUGAUGAGUACUGCAAGCUACAAUUUCCAAUUGUUCCCAAGCGCAAUAGAUUCCUUCGCGUGGUCGGCAUUUGUAAUGGGUUGGUCUUCCUUGCAGAUGACAGACUCCAUUUAGGUUACACCUUCAUAAUAUUCAACCCGUCGAUAAGAAAGUCAGUGACCCUUCCAGAGCCUCACCUUGCCUUCGACACAAUUGGCCCGUAUUCCGCUCUUGUUGGGUUUGGUUUUGAUGCUGUGAUCAAUGACUACAAGGUUGUGAGACUCCUGACCGAUCAAUGCGAGGAUCCAAAUACUUUUUAUGAGGUUUAUUCACUUGCUAGAGGCUUGUGGAGUAGUCCUCGUUCUUUUGACCCCGUUUGUAAAGUUUUUGAUUCUCUCAAAUUUCAGACUUUUGUGAACGGGGCUGUUCAUUGGCAGGCACGGCGCUGCUUGGACGAUGGCCGUUAUCAAAAUUUCAUUUUAGCAUUUGAUGUGGACAGUGAGUUAUUUCACGAGAUAAAGGUGCCAAAGAGUUUUAGACAGGAUAAACCAUUAGAUUAUCACCUGUCUGUUUCAGGUGAUGGAAACUCCAUUGCUGUGUUCACGAUGCCGCGGGGUCGUAAUUGUACUGAGGAUUUUCUUGACAUAUGGGUGAUGACAGAGUAUGGCAUCGAGGAUUCAUGGGCCAAACUGAUAACUCUAAGUCCACCGGAUCCAGAAAGCAGGGUGCCCUACAAGCCCUUAUGUUUUAGGAAGAGGGGUGAAGUAGUGUUGGUAUCGACUGAUGACUAUGGCAAUAUGCAUGAAUUAGUUUCUUUAGACCUUGUGAGCAAACAAUUUAAAAAUCUUGGGAUUCGCGGAUAUGGAUAUUACUAUGCUGAACCUUAUGAGGAGAGCCUCGCCUUACUUGACAAUGUCGAUGCAGUUUCUUACAGAGGAGCAGAUCAGGUAAUGUUAUAUCUAGCAUUGGUCUUCCUUUUUGUUUGGAUUUUCUUCUUGUUAUAUAUUUACGUCCAAGGUUCCAACUGUGUGUGACAUGAUAUGAGCUUUAACCCCAGAACAAAGUUAUAUGUGUGUUAAUUUGUUACUUGAUUUAAUUACGCAUAGCUUGCUGAAGUGUAAUCGUUGACAUCAUUCAUUCGCCCUUCGUGCAGGUAGAAAAAGAUGAGGCAGAUAGAUUUCAAGUCCUUGACGAUGCCGUUGUAAUGAAUGUGCUCAAUCUGCUGCUCAGUCAUCGUUUAUCUUGACUAUAUCACUUGUAUUUUGACGUCGACUAGUAAAAAGACGUCGCAUGUGUUGUGCUAGGAUAGCACCAAACCCGUUGGAACCAACUCAAGCUAACCCACAGGAAAUUUAUCAAAUGAAAAUGCAAGAACAAAAUAUUAAAGAACACCAAGAUUUUAACGAGGUUCCUCAACAGUCAGUGUAACUGGAGUACGUCCUCGGAGCAGUAGGAGCUCACCCAAUAAUCCACUAUCAACCAAAUGGGAGUUUACAAAGUGUUGGCAAUCUCACAACCCAAAUAACCCAAUACACCCAAUAUCUCUCACACACCAAAGAAACAAAUAGAAGAAGAAAUAUAAUGAAUAAGUUAUUCUCUAUACAUAUAGCUCAAAGCUAUUACAACAACACCUAUUUUGGUGGAUGAUUACUAACCAAAUGAAGCAGCAGCUUCUUCUUCCUUUUGGGCUCUCUGCAGAAAAAAACUCUAACUUCUCUCUGCAGCUCUCUCUUCUCUCUUCAGCUCUCUCAACUGAAAAAUGAGAGUUGCAUCUCUUUUCUUCUAUCCGAAACAAACCUCAAUAAUUAUGGUUAAUAAAAAAACCACAAAAGAAAAAAAAACAUCAUCAUGAUGUCUCCUCAUCAUGAUGUUUCCUCAUCAUUUUGUCUUUCUUUUUCUUUUGCUUUUUUUAAUAGCCGAAAGUAUUGGCCAUAAUUCAACAAUCUCCACCUUGGCCAAAUUUCGAAAACACCAUGAUAAGCCACCAACACAAUCAACACAAAAAAAAUCACUCCCAAACACUAGCAAGAGAACAACUCAUGCCGAGCCAAAUGCUCCAAAACUCCUACUACUCAACGCCUUCUUUAUAUAGGCAAAAUGUGAGCCAAGUUCAAACAAUGAACAAACUUGGCUACACCAACAACCUUAGUCAACAUAUCAGCGGGGUUGUCUUUAGUUGGAAUCUUCUGGAGAAUGAUUUCCCCUUCACCAACAAUUUCACGAACAAAGUGAUAACGCACAUCUAUGUGCUUGGUCCUCGCAUGAUGAACCUGAUACUUAGCCAAAUAAAUGGCACUCUGACUAUCACAAUGUACCUCCACCUGCUUCUGAUCAACCCCCAAAUCUCUAAUCAGCCCAUGUAUCCAAAUGGCCUCCUUUAUAGCUUCAGCAACUGCCAUAUAUUCAGCCUCUGUAGUAGACAAGGCAACAGACGACUGCAAAAUAGACCUCCAACAAACUGGUCCUUUAGCCAUAGUAAACACAUAGCCUGUAGUAGACUUCCUACCAUCCAGAUCACCUGCAUAAUCUGAAUCAACAUAACCAACUGCAAAAUGACCAAUACCAGAGUCAUCUCUCUCAAAGCAUAAACCAACAUCUUGAGUACCAUGGAGAUACCUCAAUAUCCACUUAACUGUUUGCCAAUGCUCUUUACCUGGAUUAUGCAUAUAUCGACUCACCAUGCCAACUGCAUGAGCAAUAUCCGGUCUAGAGCAUACCAUUGCAUACAUCAAACUACCAACCAAAUUUGCAUAUGGUAUAUUUUUCAUUUGCAGCUUCUCUUUAUCAGUUUUAGGACACUGUAAAGAACUCAAUUUAAAAUGAGGAGCCAAAGGGGUACUAACCGGUUUGGUUGAAUCAUGAACUCCAAAUUUCCGAAUCAACUUUUCAAGAUAUUGUCUUUGAUUCAAACUGACCAAACCCUUCUCUCUAUCUCUAGUGAUCUCCAUGCCAAGGAUCUUCUUCGCUUCACCAAGAUCCUUCAUCUCAAACUCAUUCUUCAUUUGCUUCUUCAAUUUCUCAAUCUCUUCAACAUUCUUUGAGGCAAUCAACAUAUCAUCAACAUAUAUCAACAAAUAAAUGAAAGACCCAUCUUGCAACUUCUUGAAGUACACAAAAUGAUCAUAUUGACUUCUAGAAUAAUUUUGGCCUCUCAUAAAUUUAUCAAACCUCAAAUACCAUUGCCUUGGAGAUUGCUUCAAGCCAUAUAGUGAUUUCUUCAAUUUGCAAAACAAGUUCUCCUUCCCUUUCAUUAUAUACCCAUCCGGUUGACACAUAUAGAUCUCUUCAUUCAAAUCACCAUGUAGGAAAGCCGUCUUCACAUCGAGUUGCACAAGCUCAAGAUCAUAUUGUGCAACAAGGGCUAACAUAAUACGAAUUGAGGAGUGCUUCACAACUGGAGAAAAUAUUUCAUUGUAGUCAAUGCCCUCCUUUUGUGCAUACCCUUUAGCAACUAAUCUUGCUUUAAAUCUCACAUUGCUUUUCUCAUCAUCAUCUUCCUUCUUGGCAUACACCCAUUUGCAACCAAUAGCUUUCUUGCCCUUAGGCAAUUUAGCUAACUCCCAAGUCUUGUUCUUCAAGAGAGAAUUCAUCUCAUCACCCAUGGCAUUGCACCACCUCUUCUUCUCCUCACUCUCAAUAGCUUCCUCAAAAUUGGAUGGAAUCUCUUCAGUGAUAAUAGGAAGAGCAAAAGCAACAUAGUCACUAUACCGAGCUGGCUUGGUAAUUUGUCUCUUUCCUCUGUUCUUGGCAAUAGACUCUUGAGGUGAAACUUGCUCUUCAACUUGAAUAGAAUCUUCAAGUUCAACUUCUUCAACAUCCUCAUGGUCUCCAACUUCCUCACUUGUAGUGGCUUCGACAUCAGCGGAAAUAGGAUUUGAAGUACCAGAGGCAACUUUCUCAAGCUCCACCUGUUGGACAUUUUUCACAUUCUUCUCAGAGCCUUUGUACAUACUUUCUUCAUCAAAUGUCACAUCUCUGCUGAUUACAAGUUUCUUCAAUUCUGGGCACCACAACCUGUAACCUUUGACACCACUACUAAAACCAAGAAAGAUAGCCUUUUUGGCUCUAGGAUCAAGUUUAUUUUCAGUUACAUGAAAAUAAGCAGGUGAACCAAAAAUAUGAAUAUGAUCAUAAUCAGAAGAAGGUUUUCCAGUCCAUACCUCCAUUGGUGUCUUACCCUGAACAGCAGCUGAGGGUAACCGGUUGAUGAUGUGACAUGCAUAAUUAACUGCCUCUGCCCAAAAUGACUUGCUUAAACCCGAUUGAGACAACAUACAUCUAACCUUCUCAAGCAAGGUUCGAUUCAAUCUUUCUGCAACUCCAUUUUGUUGUGGAGUUCCUCGAACACUGAAAUGUCUCACAAUUCCUUCCUCUUUGCAAACUUUAAAGAAAGGAUCGGAUGUGUAUUCACCACCAUUAUCCGAUCUCAAAAUCUUAAUCUUUCUCCCAGUCUGAUUCUCAACCAUUUUCUUCCAACCCAAGAAAAUGCACAACACCUCACUCUUGUGCUUCAUAGUGUAGACCCAAGACCUUCUUGAAUAAUCAUCAACAAAUGUCACGAACCAAUGUCUACCACUCAAAGAGGGAGUCUUUGUAGGACCCCAAACAUCCGAAUGCACAUAAUCAAGAAUGCCCUUUGUCUGAUGUACAGCAGUACCAAACUUCACUCUAGUUUGUUUCCCCAAGACACAAUGCUCGCAGAAAUCAAGCUUACAAGUCGUGGCACCUUUUAGAAGACCUUGUUUCACAAGCCCUUGUAGAGCUUUCUCACCGGCAUGGCCUAAUCUCAUAUGCCACAGUCUAGUAGUAUCUGAAUCAGAUGUGCCCAUAUUUUCAGAGACUACAGAUGCUUCACCUGUCACAGUGCUUCCCUGCAAUAAAUACAAAUGACCACAUCUAGGAGCUUUCAUCACAACAAGUGCACCAUAAGUAACUUUCAAUGUCUGUCCAUCUGAAUGAAACCUGAAACCCUUGGAUUCCAAAGUACCCAAAGAAAUAAGAUUUUUCUUCAAAUUCGGUACAUACCGAACACCUGUCAACUCUUUAACCAUGCCAUCAUGCAACUUCAAACGAACUGUACCAAUCCCUUUUGUUGUGCAAGGAUUGUCAUCUCCCAUGAACACAACGCCACCAUCAAACUCUUUCAAGCUUGAAAACCAAUCUUUGUGAGGAGUCAUAUGAUGAGUACAACCCGUAUCUAACACCCACUUAGUAGCACAAUCAAAUGAUGAGGAAGUGGUUAAAGCAAAAUCAGAAAAAUCUGUUUCAACCUCAGCAACAUUAGCUUCAGAACUUUCUUUUCCUUUGGUCUUCAACUUAGGACAAUCUUUCUUCCAAUGGCCCUUAUUAUGACAAAAGGCACAUUCAUCCCUUUCUAAAUGUUUUCUACCUUUAGAGUUUCCUCUAGGUCGAGACUGUGAUUUUUUCCUACUAGUAGAGGACCUCCUCUCCGAUGAUCUACCUCUAACAAAUAAAGCUUCAGAGGUACUAUCAUGAUUUUUAUCUCUAUGCCUCAUUUCAUAAUUCAUCAAGGCAUUUGACACAUCUUCAAAUUUCACAGUUUCUUUACCAUGCAUAAUAGUGGUAACAAAAUGCUCAUAAGAGUCCGGCAAUGAAUUCAACAAUAUUAAGGCCUUAUCUUCAUCCUUAAUAUCCUCAUCUAAAUUUAACAAGUCGGCAAUCAACUUAUUAAAAGCAUCAAGGUGUCUAAUCAUUUUUGUACCUUCUUUGUAUUGGAAGCGGUAGAGCUUUUUCUUCAAGUGUAGCCGGUUCUCUGCAUUCUUCGUCAUAUACUUGUCUUCCAAUUUUUGCCACAACACACUUGCUACCGUCUCCCACAUCACAAAAUACUUCUGAGUUUUUGCAAGGCACAACCGAAUUGAAGAGCAAGCCCACAAAUUUAAUUUCUCCCAUUCCGACUUCGACAUAGCUUCCGGUUUUUCUCCCAAAACGGCAAGUAGAUCUUGUUGAGCCAACACAUCUUUAACCUCACAUUGCCACAUCCCGAAGUUGUUUGUGCCAUCAAACUUUUCCACUUCGAACUUUGCAUUUUGCACCGUAGUUCUUGCAAACCCGGAGGUGCUUCCAAAAGGAUUUUCAUCUUGCCCAUCUGACAUCUUUGGCAACUAGACAGUACCCAAGAGCAACCAGUGCUCUGAUACCAAUUGUUGUGCUAGGAUAGCACCAAACCCGUUGGAACCAACUCAAGCUAACCCACAGGAAAUUUAUCAAAUGAAAAUGCAAGAACAAAAUAUUAAAGAACACCAAGAUUUUAACGAGGUUCCUCAACAGUCAGUGUAACUGGAGUACGUCCUCGGAGCAGUAGGAGCUCACCCAAUAAUCCACUAUCAACCAAAUGGGAGUUUACAAAGUGUUGGCAAUCUCACAACCCAAAUAACCCAAUACACCCAAUAUCUCUCACACACCAAAGAAACAAAUAGAAGAAGAAAUAUAAUGAAUAAGUUCUUCUCUAUACAUAUAGCUCAAAGCUAUUACAACAACACCUAUUUUGGUGGAUGAUUACUAACCAAAUGAAGCAGCAGCUUCUUCUUCCUUUUGGGCUCUCUGCAGAAAAAAACUCUAACUUCUCUCUGCAGCUCUCUCUUCUCUCUUCAGCUCUCUCAACUGAAAAAUGAGAGUUGCAUCUCUUUUCUUCUAUCCGAAACAAACCUCAAUAAUUAUGGUUAAUAAAAAAACCACAAAAGAAAAAAAAACAUCAUCAUGAUGUCUCCUCAUCAUGAUGUUUCCUCAUCAUUUUGUCUUUCUUUUUCUUUUGCUUUUUUUAAUAGCCGAAAGUAUUGGCCAUAAUUCAACAGCAUGUACUCCGGAUUUUCUCCGGAUGCCUUGUGAUAUAUGCCGGAUGCUGGCUAGAGGAGAACAUUUUUCCUUCAGUUUGUCUGCUAAUUUACAGUCCUAGAAGAAGUUACUUAUCAUAACAUGUUGCCAAUGUUCAUGGAUAUAUACCGUUAUAUUAAUGAGUUUCUUUGAAAUUGUUUGUGAUAUUUUCGUGCCAAAUAGGACGAGAAGAAAAUUGCAUAUCUCAGUUUUUUAGCUCUCAUAAAGAUUUAUGUCUCUCUCGUUGCGAAACUUAUACUAUAAUUUUUGCUCCUAUGGUCUAUCAAAAUAAUAAUAUUUCAGUAGAUACUUAGUAGUUUAUUACCGUAAAUUUUGUGUUCAACUGAAAGCAGGGAGAACAAUGUGUACCUUUUUCUUUUCUUUUUUCCCAAUGAAUUUUUUAACUUCUUCCUCUACAACUAGGGGUGGGCAAUUGGAACCGAAAACCGAAACCGAAACACGAAUCGAAUCGAACCGCACCAAACGGUUUGGUUUUGCGGUUUUGAAACGGUUUCGGUUUCAAAACCAAACCGUGGCACACAAAACGGUUUGGUUUCGGUUUUGGGUUUUCAAAACCGCACCGAAACCAAAACCGCACCGUAUAAUAAAUAAUAAAACAAAUGUUAUAUAACUUAUAAUUUAAACUUUUCAACUAGGUUAUAACUUAUAGGUUUGGUUUUGCCGUGGGUUUGCACUUUGACUUAACUGCUUCUGCUUGCAUCUCUACUUCUGCCUUUGCAAUUGCAUUUUUGUUGCAUUAUUUUUUAGUGCAAUUUUGUGCAGUUUUGGUGCAGUUUUUGGUGCAGUUUUGCUGCUGUUUUUUAUGCAGUUUUGCUGCAUUUUUUUGGUGCAGUUUUGUGCAGUUUUGGUGCAGUUUUUGGUGGUGUUUGGGUGCAGUUUUUGGUGGUGUUUUGCUGCAGUUUUUUUUCUUCAGUUUUGACUCUUUUUUGCUGCAAUUUUACUGCAUAUUCAUUAAUUAAUAUACGAGGAAAAUAAGACCGUUUUAUGCAUAAAUAGGUGUAUAUUUUAAAUUGUACAUUUUUUUUCUCAAAAACCAAACCGAAACCGUUUGAAACCGCACCGCACCGAACCAAACGGUUUGGUUUUAUUUCGGUUUUGGCUUCAAAACCGCACCGCAAAAUGUUUCGGUUUCGGUUGUGGUUUCACUCGAAACCGCACCGCGCCCACCCCUAUCUACAACCCUUGCAUGUAGGUUUGGCAGUAAAAGAAGAGUUUCAGCGCAAUUAAAAUAAGGUUUUUUUAGCCAAAAUGGUCCCUGAAAUUUCAAAUCAAUAGAAGUGAUCCAUGAGAUUGUCUACUAUCCAUCAUUUUGGUCAUUCCGUUAAAAACUCCUUUAAGUGUCCCGGAGCUGUUGGCCGGAAGUUUUGGCAAUUUUCAAAGCUUCGUAACUCAAUCGUUUCUUAACCAAAUUUGACCCAUAAUAUAUCAAAAUGAAGAUAGGAAAGUGUAGAAUAAGAUUAUAACUAUUUAGAAGCCCAAUGGUUGCCGGAGAUGGUCGGAAAAUAGCCUCAAAGUUGACUGGUCCGAGGGAAAACUGGAAAACUGGCCGGAAACUGGGUAAACUUUAAAAGUUCAUAACUUCUUCAAUACUCAACGAAAUCAAGUGAUUCAAAAACAAAAAUCAUACUUCUCAAUGAGACAAAGAGAAUGGAACCUUUUUCAAUGGCUAACUCGCAGUGGUUUGGCCGAAAAACGGCUCAAAAUUGGCUAACUCGAGCCUAAGGCAGCCACUUUCGAGCCGUUUUCCGGCCAAACCACGGCGAGUUAGCCAUUUCAAAAGAUACCAUUCUCUUUUUCUCAUCGAGAAGUAUGAUUUUCAUUUUUGAAUCACUUGAUUUCGGUGAGUAUUGAAAAAGUUACGAACGUUUAAAAUCUACCCAGUUUUCCAGUUUUUCCUCGGACCAGUCAACUUUGAGGCUAUUUUCUAAUCAUCUUCGGCAACCAUUGGGCUUCCAAAUAGGUAUAAUCUUAUUCUACACUUUCCUAUCUUCAUUUUGAUAUAUUAUGGUCGAAUUUGGUUAAGAAAGAUUGAAUUACGAAGCUUUGAAAAUUGCCCAAACUUUCGGCCAAGAGCUCUGGGACAUUUAACGGAAUUUUUAACGAAAUGACCAAAAUAAUGGAUGGUGGCCAAUCUCAGGGACCAAAGUGAGGAGUUAUACAAAUCUCAGGGAUCAUUUUGGCUAAAAAGCCUUAAAAUAAUGGCGAACUAGUCUUUCGUUUUUUUAUGAACAAUAGGAUAAUCUACACUAAAUUAUUUUUUCGUCUUUUGUUAAAGGAUACAUUAAUUGAAAAAAAAAAACUUGAAGUGUUUGGGAUCAUUUAAAUUCCAAUUUCAAUAUAGCUAUUGGUUUAAGUAACAUAAUUUUUAGUUUAGGUACCAAUGAAAAAAAUCAACUAAAAUAAUUCUAUAAAUACUAUUAUAAUUCAAAAUAAUUAUAUAAUUGCUACGUUUUCCGACCAGCCAACUGUAUUCGCAACCACCUCACCCUUACUGUCAAUCUUAAUAACCAGGUUUCGACUAACCUCCUUGUACGGCAUUGUGUUUGCAUACAUGAGCCAAGGGAGGAGCAUUACUAUUUGCAUAUGAUAAAUAACCAUGUUUUUUAUGAGUACCGUUGGCUAGAAUUUCCAAUCAUUCCGAAGGGAUAAUCAAUCAAUUGCUUAUUAAAUAUUAUUUUCUCUAUUCUUAAUGUAAAUUUUAUAAUGACCGAUUUUAUUAUGUUAAUUACUUUAAUUAGUUUAUUAGAGGUUUCUUCUAGUAUAAUAUAAGAAUAUUUAUUUAUUUCCAAUAUUUAACUUUCCUUUUAUCAAUUUAUGCAUAUAAAUACAUUUAAAACGUGUAAGUCGCGCGUAGCACGUCGUGAUUCAAAAAAUGUCCUCUGCAUAAAGGCUAGUAAAGAGAAAGUAAAAAGAGGAAUCUGUCUUUUUGGGCAGAAAGAGGAAGACUUGUUAUAGUCUUUCAACACCUAAUCAUCAUCGCAAUUUGAAGAGCCUCGACUAGAUAAGAAGACGUCGCAUGUACUCGGGAUUUUCUCCGGGAUGCCUUGUGAUAUUCUGAUAUUGCUGCUGGAAAUAAAUGUUGGAACUUGUGAGUGGGACUUAGUCCCACAUCGCCCAAACACAUGGUGGAAGUCCACUUUAUAAGUCUUUUCCUUCCUUUAUGGUUUGAAAAGAAUUGGUCCAAAGCUAUGGACAUUGGCCUUACAAAUGGAGGUUUGAGUGUAUAUAUUAAGGGUAAAAGACUGUUUACUACCCUAAUGUUUCGUGGUUUUCAACAUUUAGUACAUCAUGUUUUUUUCGUCUCAGAGUCAUACCUAAAGUGUAAAUUUUGGGACAGUCUCAUACAUCCGUUAGUCAAACUGUUAAGUUUUUCGUUAACUGUGACGUGGCGCACUGAGUGGGCGUCAUCCACGUGUCAUGUUUUUUUUUUUUUUUUUUUUUUUUUUUUUUUUUUCUUCUUCUUCCUUCUUCUUGCUCCGACUGCAACUUUCUGUUUUUUUUUUUUUUUUUUUUUUUUUUCUUUCCUUUUCCUUCUUCCUUCCUUUUUCCUUUUUUUUCUUCCCCUUCUUCCUUCUUCUUCUUCUUCUUUCUUCCUCCGAAUUCUUUUUUUUUUUUUUUUUUUUUUUUCUUCUUCUUUCCUUCUUCCUUCCUUCUUCCUUCUUUCUUCUUCUUCUUCUUCUUCUUCUUCUUCUCCGAAAUCAGAUUCAUUUUUCUUUCUUUCUUCUUCCUUCUUCUUCUCCUUCUUCCUUCUUCUUCCCUUCUUCGUUCUUCUUCUUCUUUUCUUUUGGGGGAAGAUGAAAGUGUUUUUUUUUUUUUUUUGAGGAAGAAGAUGAAGAAGAGAAAGAAGAAAGAAAAAAAAGAAAAAAAAGAAAAAAAAAAAAGGAAAAAAAAAAAAAAAAAAGAAUGAAGGAAGAAAAGAAGAAGAAAAAAAAAAAAAAAAAAAAAAAAAAAAAAAAAAAAAAAAAAAAAACGAAAAAAGUGGAUGACAAAGAAAGAAACGAAGAUGGGUGAGAGCAAAACUAAAAAAAAACAAAAAACCACGGAGGAAGAAAAACAACUGUAAAAAAAUAAAAUUACACUUUUGAUCUCUGAGACGAAAAAAAACUUGAUGUACUAAAUGUUGAAAACAAAACACGAAAAAUUAGGGUAGUGAAAACAAACUCAGUUCUUUUACCCAUAUAUAAUAAAUAAGAAGGCCUUGGAAAGGAUAAAACUGAAAUAUCAAAGAUGGGCCUUGGAAAGGAUAAAACUGAUGACGAACAGUUCCAACCGUUCUAAAAACGGUACACUUGACAUUUGAUUUGUUUUAACAAUAAACAUUUUUCCUUCAGUUUGUCCGUUCUACCUAGAAAAAAGUUUGCAGUUAUCACAACAUGCCAAUAUUCAGUUAAUAUACUUAAUGAGUUUCUAUGAAAAUGUUCUUGAUAUUUUCGUGCCAAAUGGUGAGUGCAUUAUCUAUUUGUUCUAGCCUUGAUUUCUAGUUGCCCUCCAACCAUCAACGUUGCUUUUGCUUAAUUGCCAACCUUUCAUCUCUUAUUGUGCUUUCUUCUCAAUAUUCUCACACCUUCGUAGGACGAGAAGAAAAUUGUAUAUCUCAGUUUUAUAGCUCUAAUAAGAUUUAUAUCUCUCUCGUUACAAAACUUUUACAUUAAGUUUUCCUCCCAUGGUGUAUCAAAUAAUAAUAUUUCAGUAGAGACAUCUAUUACCAUAAAUUUUGUGCAAUUGAAAGCAGCGAGAACAAUACCUAUUAUUUUAUUUUAUUUUAUUUUUUCUCAAAGAAUUUUUUUGGUCAUUUUCCUCUGCAACCCUUGAGUUUCAAUCAACCCACACCCACUUUAUUUAUAAGAGUAAGGAGAACAAAUUUUUAAACCAAAUUUUGUAAAUAAAAUGAUACAUUACCAAUAGAAAAUAAGUACGUUAAUUAAUACUUGAAUAAUUUAGUCUCUCUAGCAUUAUCUUUAAAAUAAUGGCAAACUAAUUCUUUUGUUUUUUUUUUACGAAUGAUAGAAUAAUCUAUAUUAAACUAUUGUUUCGUCUUUUUUUCUUUUCUUUUUGUGAACGAUAAGACAAUAAACAAUUGAGAAAUUUUAUUUGAACUCAUACUUUGUAUCUCAACACUCAACUUACUUUUUAUAUUCACAUUGUAUUUGAUUUAUCUAUCAUUAUUUAUUUACACCCAACAUUAUUUUCGAAAUCGCCCUUACUUAUCAAAACCCAACUCAAUCAAACUUCUUUUUACACCCAACUCAAUCUACUUAAAAAUAAAAAAAAUUAAAACUCUAACCAGUCUAUCAUCUUCAUGGAGCAAAUCCCCUUCUCCCUCUUUAAAAAUCCUUCCAUCUCCCAUGGUUGUCAUUCUGCACCCCCAUCUACUUCUCCGUAGUCACUAUUUGGACCCGAUUUUAUACCAUCGGCCCAAGCGAUCGAGGCUGUUGAGUGAGCAUGGUUCUUAACCGUCAAUUAAGAUAAUUUGAUAUUGUUAAGAGAUAAUAUUAUGGUUUUUAAUCAUAAUAAUUAUCUUUUAAUAAAUUAUCUCAAUUUUCUUGUACAAAAUAAAUGGAAUGCAAAUCAUAACCUCAACGUAGAGGCAAGCAGAACAGUCCGAGUUAAUUUGGAUUUGUUAGCAGUGUACUAUGUGAAAUUAGAGCAGCUUGGCUUGGACUCUUCACGUGGCAUAACAUGGAUCUGCAAGUUUUGGAUAAUGGUGAAUAGAAAACCUAAGUAGGUUAGGUUGUUUGAUGAAUGUUGUCAGACGGAUAGGCUUUUGGAUGGGUGAUGGGUUAGGUUUUUAUUAGCUUUGAAAAGUCAACCAUUUGAAGAUAGGCUUUAAGCCUAUGUCACGGAUCAGUUUGAGUUUCAGUCGGUUUCUUCUUAUUAUCCAGGCCGUGCCAAACAGAAAAUAUGUUCAUAUAAAUACAGAGGUAAUUGCAACGCAUAGAGGACCUCCAACUCAACACACAAACUGCCAUGCGUAAACCCUUGCUCUACGCGAAACCUUUCAAACAUCUUGAGAUUUUUUAUUUUCUUUUUCGCCAACACAUCUUUAGUUUGGAUAAAUAGCACUAUGAAGGCAACCGAUGAAUAUCUUCAGUUUGGAUAAACAACAUUGUUACCGUAGAAUUAGCCGACCACAGAGCACCUUCAGUUUGGAUAAACAGCACUGCGUCAAGGCCGACUGGUUAUCUAUCCAAGUCUCAGUCGAGAAGGAUUUUGGAAUCCUUAUUGGCAGAUGUCAUCUCAUUAGCCUUUUCGGCCAAGUGAUGUGUUACAAGUUAUUACAUUCAGCACAUUGAAAGCCGAAUUUGAUAUUGAACUUUGCAGAACUAGCAGCCUUGUCUUCAGGCUCUAGAACCCGAAGGCUAAGAGUGUUCCUUCCUCGGCCGCAGUCCCGAGAUUCAAAAGUCAGCAGCGCACCCAACGUAACAUCAACAUAUUUUACUCCUCAGCCGAGCUCGGCCGACGAGUUGGCACGCCUCGCACACAACUGAAUGACGUAGUUAGCUUAUUAAUUACUCGGCUUGCGUGCCACAUAGGCUUAGUAGUUUUUAGGGUCAACAUCACCUAAACCUCUUCCUCUUCCUUUUCUUCAUCAUUUGACAUCUCUAAAUUUCUAGAGCACUAAUUAGCUUAAUAAUCAGUAUGAGCUUCUGGUUAGAGUGUUUAAUGAGUUUGAUAUGUUUCAAUUAAAUGACAAUCUUCUAGCCUCUAUAUUCCUAUAUGUGGUAGAAAAAUGGGUACGUCCAUAAUAACUUUUGGUAGAUCAAUGAAUAUUUUAAAACGUGGAUAUUUAUUAGAUACAAAAGUUGCUGACAACAAUUCACAUUACAUUGAACUGUGGCUAAAAAGUAUAUCGUCUUAGCAUGUUUUAUAGGUGAACUCAUAGCUAAACAGUUUUUAUUGUAAAGCAAAACUUUGGGAAUUGAUCUAACAUGGAUGUGUAAUUGAGUUUAUGCAUUUUAACGAUUAAAAUGAUAAAUAUUUCGACUGUAAAUGGAUUUAAUAUCGUAGUAUCUUUUAGCCUCUAUAUGCCACAAAAGUUGUGGACAAAAAUUCACAAUACAUAGAACUGUGGUUAAAAAGUAUACUGCCUUUGCACGUUUAUAGGUGAACUCAUAGGUAAGCAGUUUUAUUGUUGACCAAAACUUCGGGAAUUGAUCUCACUUGAAUGUAUAAUUGAGCUUAUGCAUUUUAAUGAUUAAAUUCAUAAAUAUCUCAACCACAUAUAAAUUUAAUAUCGUAUUGUCCUUUAACCUCUAUAUUGGUAUCUGUGACAAAAAAAUGGGUACCUCCAUGAGAAAAUUUUGUAGAUCGAUUAAUAUUUUCAAUUUGGAUAUUUAUUAGAUACUAGAAAUUAUAAGUCUAUUUGCGAAAGUCUAAGUCAAUGCCACGUACAAUAUUUGUUAAGAUAUAUUUAGGGAACUGUUAUUAGCACUCCAAAAAUCUCAUUCUACACUCCACACAAGUGUAUUUUUCUUUCUAAUUACAAAAAGUUUGGAAUGCCAAAUGAGAUUUUUGGAGUGCUAAUAACAAUUUUCUAUAUUUAUAUACAUUUUAUUUUUUGGUCGACUUCCCUUUUUUUUUCUUUCUUUAUCAAGUUAGGAGUAUCACUGAUUUUGAACUUGUGCAACUAGUUGUUGAUUCGUUUUGAAUAAUCAACAUUAUUUUUGACAAUGUCUUGGGCGUAUGAAUAAUAGAAAGAAAAUGGUCAUGAUACAAGUUGAAUAGUAGUAAUACUAAUUAGUAAACAAUUUGUGCAUGAUGUUUACUUAUAACCAAGUGGCAUGAAGGGACAAAUGUGUAGGUUUCAUGCAUGACUUGAAAUCGUAUUAGUAAAUGCAUGAUGUUUGCUUAUAACCAAGUGGCAUGAAGGGACAAAUGUGUAGGUUUCAUGCAUGACUUGAAAUAAUAUUAGUAAAUGCAUGAUGUUUGCUUAUAACCAAGUGGCAUGAGGGGACAAAUGUGUAUGUUUCAUGCAUGACUUGGAAUAGUAUUAGUCGUCGGGAGAUUUUGCAUCAAUUUGUUUUUGUUUUUUUUAACCAAGUGGCAUGAAAGGACAAAUGUGUAGGUUUCAUGCAUGACUUGGAAUAAUAUUAGUAAAUGCAUGAUGUUUGCUUAUAACCAGGUGGCAUGAGGGGACAAAUGUGUAUGUUUCAUGCAUGACUUGGAAUAGUAUUAGUCGUCGGGAGAUUUUGCAUCAAUUUGUUUUUGUUUUUGUUUUUAAUAUGUAUAUAUUAAUAUCUAUUUUAAUGGGAUUGCUCUCCACCCCUAAGUUGUGAUAAUGCCUUUAUUUAUCGUUAUUAUGUGAGUUUAAUUAAAUUUUGAGAUUGUGUUUAUCCACUACAUACAUUUAGAAUAUUUUUUUUUUAGUCGAGCGACAACAUUAAUAAGUUAGAUGUUAGAUUAGUCACCGAUAGAAUUCGAACUCACGCCAUCAUGUAAGAGCACAACACUUUUUCACCAUUGUGGUAAAUGGCCACUUGCCAACAAGUUGAUUGGCCUGUGUGACUUUACUAAUACUACUCCAAGUCAUGCAUGAAACAUACACAUUUGUCCCUUCAUGCCACUUGGUUAUAAGCAAACAUCAUUCACAAGUUAUUUGCUAAUUAGUACUACUCUUAUUCAGCUUGUAUCAUGACCGUUUUCUUUCUGUUAUCCAUACGUCCAAGACAUUGUAAGAAAUAAUGUUAAUUAUUCAAAACGAAUCAACAACUAGUUGCACAGGGUCACAGUCAGUGAUAUUCCAAACUUGAUAAAGAAAGGAAAAAAAAAGAAGUCGACUUUCAAACUUGAUUAUUCUACAAAUAUUACUAUAUAGAAUUCAAAUAAUUAUACGAUUGCCAUUUUUUUCGACCUGUCAACUGUAUUCCCAACGACGUUACCCGCACAAUCAAUCUCAAUAACCAGGUUUCCACUAACCUCCUUGUACUCCAUUGUGUUCGCAUACAUGAGCCAAGGGAAGAGCAUUACUAUUUGCAUUCUGAUAAAUGACCAUGAUUUUUUUUAUGAAUAUUGCAGACUAGAAUUUCCAAUCAUUCCCAAUGGAGAAUGGUUCAAUCAUGACAUCAUGAGCUAAGAAUACAAUUUUGAGUUUAAAUUUCUCUCCACAUACAUCACGUUAAUUUAGUUUUUUUUCUACUUUCCUAGCAUGUUCUCUUUCGUGCAUUUUAAAUAGUGACUUAAUAGUGAAAAAACAGAUUCAUAUAGAGAUAUAAGUCUAAAAUUACUUGUCACUAAUUCAGUCACCAAGCUUAAGUCGUCUAUCUUUAAUCUUCAAAAUUAACACAAUAAGCUAGUAAUUUCACUUCAUCAAAAUAUUGCUCAAUGUUGUUUGACUUGUUUCCUUUCUUAAACUUUUAGAUGCUCAUUAAUUAUAUACUAAAAAACCUUGCUCUUCAUCUUCAAACGGAUCAUAAUCCAAUAUAGCUCUGUUACUAAAGGCUGGUUUGGUAUUGCUGCGCUUUGAAAAAAAGCUGUUGUGAGAAUAAGUGGCUGUGCUGUGAGAAUAAGCGGCUGUGAAAUAAAUCAGCAGAGUGUUUGGUAAACUUUUUUGUAAAAGUGCUUUUGGAAAAAAAAAACAGUCUGAUAGUGGGUCUUUUCAUUAAAGGAGCACUGUAGCUCUGUGUGCUUUGAAAAAAAGUCAGUUUUCCAAAGCUGCAAAUAGCAGCUUCAGUUUUUUCCUUUGAUUUCAGCUUAUUCUCACAACAGCUUCCAAAAUAAGCCUUUUUUUUUUUUCAGUUUACCAAACACCUAAAAGCCUCAUAACUUUUUUUGAUAGGUGCCUUUUUUUUUAAGCACCUCACUCCCAAACCCAACCUAAGUAGCAUAACUACAAGUCUGCAAGAUGGCAAAAGCAUAAUCCAUUGUAACUUUGGUAGAUCAGGUGUCGGCAGGAUCAUUUUCUUCUAAAUUCAAGUAGCAUAACUACAAGUCUGCAAGAUGGCAAAAGCAUAAUCCAUUGUAACUUUGGUAGAUCAGGUGUCGGCAGGAUCAUUUUCUUCUAAAUUCGGUGACGGAUGGAUCAUUUUCUUCUUGUUUCAAGUGUUGUGUGACUCAGGUUUUUUUAGAGUCUUUUACAGUUUUAAAUUGAUUGUCUCUACAUCAUCUACUAUGGCCUACAAACAAUUGAAACAAUCACCCUCCCAAAAUAAUAUGAUCGGUGUUGCAAGGGAUUGUAGCUUAGUUGUGUACAAGCAGAUGUUUUUUUUAGUAUAUCGAUAUUUUUUAUAUUAAGGAAGAGAAGAAGUUUGGAUGAGCCACACAAUAGAUAGUCUAAUUUGAUAUUAAAUUUUUCAUUCACGAGAUUCGAACAUAAGACCUCUACUUCUAAGUGAAGAGGAAUAUCACUAGAUCGUAGUACUAAGUAGCGCAAUCAGUCAUUUAUUUGUUGAGAAUAAAUCUUAUAUUAAUGAAAUGAGAGACUUUGUAUGUGCUUAUAAUAAGUAGUUGAGGUACUCUUCCUAUAGUCAAUUGUUUUUAUGGUGGAACUUCAAUCUCUUUUUCUUGCUAUCAAAACAAGUUGUCUCAUGUAUGAAGCAUAACGGCCUCACGUGAUCCACAUCUUUCGAAUUGUAUUAUCCACAUGUUAAACUUGAAAUUUGUCAUACGUAAUGGAAUGAAUCUCAUAUUAAAAAAAGAAAAAAAAAAGAGACUUUGAAAUCUCAAUUUUAUUGUAUUUCCAUCCAAAGUUCUAUAUUUUGAUUUCCCAUCUCCAAAAUCGCUCUUAUAAAGAAAAAGAAAAAGUAUAACGAACGUGUAGGACUUUGGAGAUAAGAAAUCAAAUAAAAAGACAACAAUAUGACCCCACGAUAUGACCCCACGAAAAGUACAGAGAGAAACGAGGAGUCCUUUGUGGUCCGAAAGGUUACAAGUCUUUCAACACCUAAUUAUCAAAAGCAAAUUGCAGCGUUCGAGAGUAGUCUGGAUUAGGGCUGGCAUUUUGAACCCGAUUCGUUAAUCCGAUCCGAUCUGAUCCGUUAAAACUAGUAUUUGGGUGAAUGCUUAACGGGUUAGGUUAUUAACGGGUCAACCCGUUAGUCACCCGUUAAGUAACGAGUUAUUUUGAGUCAACCCGCGAAACCCAUUAGCACCCGUUAACACCCGUUAAGAAGGACUUAUGUGUAAUUUCAUAGUUGGAAUAGAAAACCUAGCUCUCUCUGUUCUCUCACAUUCGAACCCGACUGAGUGGCUGCUGUUCUCUGAGAACUUCUCUCCCUCAUCUUCUUCCUCAAAUUUGGCUGCCGUUCACUAAGUUUGUCAUCCUCUCUCUGGUAAGUUCCGAUUCCCUUUCACCUCUUCUUCCAUGGCGAUUACUUUUCGUUUUUGCAAAUUAUAUUUUUUGUCUAAUUCUCAGUUUUCGCUUGAGCUUGGUUUGAGGUGGUAUUCUUCAGAUGAGCUUCAAAUUAAUUUGGAAUUAGUUGAUUUGUGUUUGAUGAUUUCAAUUGCGAUUGUGCUUUUGUUGUGCAAAUGGUGUUUUCUGUGUGUGAUUGUACUUUUGUUCUCUUCCUUCUCAAGUUAGAUAGAGAGAGAUCUUCCCACUUCUCCAUCCCAUCACACACUUGAUUCAUACACACACACAUACAUACGUUAUUCUUCUAUUAUGGGUUUGAUGGUGAUUGAGGAGGAGAAGCAGGCGGCGGCCAAGCCCUUCGACGAAUUGAGUUUUGAUUAGAAUUGGGUUUUGAUUAAAAUAUGUGUUCUUUUGCCUGAAACAGACUCUGGAUCUGUUGAUUUUCAUAAUCCAUGAAAACAAGUCCCUUCAUCUUCAUCUGAAAACUUCUACGUAGUAAGUUCCUCUUGCAACUAUAUAUGCGAAACUCAUUAUUUAUUAAAGUAAACUGUCGAUUUACCCCCUGAACUUUCACCUCACUUUCGAUUCCCUCUUGAACUUUUCAAUUGGAAAAUUAAGGACUCAAACUAAUUUUUUUAGCCAAUUUGCCCCCUACUGUUAGUUUUUCAUAUAUUCUAUCUAUAUUUCUGUUAAGUGAGACCAUAUGCACAACAUGUGAGGGUAGUUAAGUCAUUUCACUCUUAAAAAUGAUUAAAAAUUUGAAAAUAAAAAAAAAACAAAAUUUUCCCUCUAUUUUUUUCCGCUAAUUCCUAUCAUCGAUUUUAUUUUUCCCUCUCAUUCUUAUGCAUGAGAAAUGACAUAUGGUGUUAUUGUCUACCAUUUUUAUUUUCUCUAACAAAUUAAUAAUUUGACAAAUGCUAAUGGUGCUAUUGUCUCCAAAGCAGUUCAUUAAUAUAAGAAACUCUAGUCUUUUUUAUGGACAUGUUUCUUAUAUUAAUGUACUGCUUUGGAGACAAUAACACUAUGAGCAUUUGUCAAAUUAUUAAUUUGUUAGAGAAAAUAAAAAUGGUAGUACAUGCUUCAAGAAAAAGAUUAACUUAGCUACUUAUGAAGACAAUAACACUAUAUGUCAUUUCUCAUGCAUAGAAAUGAGAGGGAAAAAUAAAAUUGAGGUUAGGAAUUAGCGGGAAAAAAUAGAGGGAAAUUUUUUAUUAUUAUUUAUUUUCAGUUUUUAAUCAUUUUUAAGAGUGAAAUGACUUAACUAUCCUCACAUGUUGUGCAUAUGGUCUCACUUAACAGAAAUAUGGAUUGAAUAUAUGAAAAACUAACGGUAGGGGGCAAAUUGGCUAAAAAAAUUAGUUUGAGUCCUUAAUUUUCCAAUAGAAAAGUUCAGGGGAAAAUCGAAAGUGAGGUGAAAGUUCAGGGGUAAACCGACAGUUUAUCCUUAUUUAUUAAUUAAUUAUUUCAUUUUUCUUGAAGUUUGUAUAUUUAAUUAGAGAUUUCAUCAAUAACCAGCUAUAUAAUUUGUGCGGUUUUCAGCCUUGAUUAUUCCGUCAUUCGGUCUGGAUUUGUUGACUAUAAGUGCAAACAAGUGCCCUCAUGACCUGACAGACUUCCACCGCGUAACUGCUGCUUGCUUCAGAUCAUGUCCAAUAUUCGUGCAACGGUGCAAGUUUCGAGUCUUGAAGCGUAGGAUUGCAAGAAUCCCCCUGCAGUUACGGGUAAUCCCAAAACUGCCCCAUUUUUUGUCCAACAGGUUCAAAUUUAAGAAAAAUAAUGUUUACUGGUAUAUGAUUUUUGCAAGCUUCUGUUUUUCUUUUUGCUCGUCUUUUAAAUUGAUAUGGUGUGUUUCAUUAAUUAUUGUGUUUUAUGUCAUCUUAAAUGGCAAGUGAAUCAAGUGAUGUACACAAUUAUUCAAUGAGAUAAAUUUAUUAAUUGAUGUGACAUAUCACAUCAAAUUGUACGUAAAUAUGGUAUAAACAUAUGUGAUUUCCUAACAUUUUCGGAUUUUCCUAGUAAUAUUAUAUGGCGUGUUAUUGUGCUUUAUACAUACAAUAUCAAGUUUUUCUUUUUCUUUUUUAUUGGAACAUACAAUAUCAAGUUAUUAGAUUAUUUUAUGGUACUAUAUUAGGGACUGUAUACCUGGCGGUGGGACGGUUAUGAUGUAGGCAACCUUGAUCUGAAUCCGGCCCGUUGCCAUCCCUUGCUAUUCCCAAAUUGUUAUCUCUAGAUAUGCUUACUAGGAGUCCAUUAAUUGAAUAUUAUUUCAAUUUUACUAUAAAUUUGUAUAGGUAAAUGCUAGGGACAUUAAAUUAUUACUUUAAUCUAAAGUACGGUUUGAAAUUGGCACUAUUCAAAUGAACAGUGUUUCAAUUCGAAUUUCAGAUUAAUUACCACCAUGCCAUUGGUUUUUGUGUUGGUUUUGGGUCAGCAGCCCGUCCCUCAGCCAGGCCCAAAUGUGUUGGCUUUAGCAGGGAAGACCGGCCCUCAGUGAGGCCCAAAUUAUUUAAUUACAUUUUUGCCCAUCAAAGAUUACAAUCCGACGGUGGGGAUGGUGUAUUACGAAGGGCAAUUUUGUCCUCUCCGUUUUGGGCGAGUAGGGGGUCACCGGUUGGUAUCAUUUGAUGUCGUUCAAUUAGGGUUUCGGGGAGGUCUGUGAGAGAGAGAGAGAGAGAGAGAGAGACAGAGACAGAGACAGACAGAGACAGACAGAGAGAGAUGGCGAUGGAAGGAGAGCGAGGGGGAGGGGUAGGGGUCUCGGCACUGUUGUUGCAGAUGGGAGGGUCGGUAUGGUCAGAGAAGACCAUAUGGGUCGUCGGGAUUUUGGGGAGACGGGGUAGGGGUCAUCUGCAAACCCUACUGAGAGUGGGGUGUGCCGGAUCUUGUGCUGCAUGCCUCGAAUCCAAAGAUAUGUUUUGGGGGAUUUGUGAUCUUACAGAGAGAGAUGGAUAGGGAGAUAGAGAUAGACAGAGAGAGGAGAAAGCAUGGCUGUGUGCAUUUUUUGGGGUUAAUUAAUGGGUUAAUGCGCAGGGUCAGUGAGGAGAGAGUGACAGAGGGGUGUAUGGCAGGGUAUGGGUUUUCAGUUUUUCCCUCUGAUUCAAUAAGUUAUGCACUGUUUGAAAAUAAUUGUUUAUUGUUUUGUUUUCCGUUGGCUUUGUUAAAACCAUCAUUUGAAUUGUUUGGUUUCACUGUGCUCAUUUCUGGGCUUCUUCAAAAUUUUCUGGUGUUUGCUUCUCAUUCCCCUGUUGGUUGAUUUUUUUUUUCCCAUUUCUUGGUUCUUUAUGUAUUCCUUGGUUCUGUCUAAAUUUUUGCUGUGGGAUGAUGCUUGCAGGUGAACUAUAUGCACGGUUUUUUGAGACGAGUUAAGAAGAUCCACCUGAAAACAACAUACAAGAUAGAGAACUAGUAUGCUGCUUUGUCUUUCUGUUGGAUUUUGAUGUUUAUGUUCUGCUACUAAGAGGAUUUUAUAGUGUUCUAAAUCUGUUUUGUAAAUGUGCUUAAAUAUUGGACAUGUUCUUGAAUAUUAGCCAUGUUGUUUGAAUUGGAUAUGUGAUUGAAUAUUAGGUAUUUAUUUUGAAUUGAUUUGGAUAUGUGGUUUAUUGAAUUAGAAUUUGGAUAUGUGCUGAUUUGAAUUGGAUAUGUUGAAUUAGAGAUGUGCUACUUUGAAUUGGAUAGGUUGAAAAAUGACAAGCGAUGGUAAAAUAUGUUUGGAAUACACUAGAAAAAUUAGAUAGAGGCUUGAAAGGACUAGAUCGAGUACAUUUGAAAGAACUAUCAGUACAAGACAACUUUGUUUAGUGUUUUUGUAGUGGUGUUCUAAUUGCAGCUUCAUAGUUUUAGUCUAAUGUUUUUGUUGUACAGUUUUUAACAACCGAAUCUAAAAUCCCUCUGUACUUUAAAGUCUCUCCUCCAGACAUCACAUUAGAGAAUUAUAACUAUUCAACAUUCUUGGUGCAUCGGCAUAUUAAUGAUUGUAUCACAGAAUUUUGGCAAAGUUCCUUGAAUUAUUGAACAGUUAAUGCUUUCCAAAUGUUUUACUUUGAUUCAUUGUCUCACAUUUUCCAUGGUACAAGUUUACAUGAUUGCAAGCCGAUAGAAAGAGAUAUAUGUAGGGAGAAGCGGGAAUUGGGGAGAGAGAGAGAGUGAGCGAGGGGUGCGGUUGCUUUUUAAAGAUAUCUUUGAAAUUGUUUCUGCAGUUUUUUUUUUUUCUUUUGGGUGAAUUUUCUUGAGUUCUUUCUGUUUGUUUGGAAUUAUUCCAUUUUUACUGAGAUUCUUUUGGUCCCUGCCACUAAACUCUGAUUUCUGCUAUUAAUUGCUGUUGACAUGUGACUUUUGCUAUUAAUUUUGUAAAUUAAUUUAAUUAAGAUGCUCAAUGUUCCCUUAAUUGUGAUUAAGAUGGUCACAAUCCUACCAUCCUCUGUAUGCUCUGCCAUGUCCGCCGCCAAUGUUUUAUUUUUACUUUUUAACCCUUUCGUACAACAUUUAAAUAAUCAGGUGGAAAUAGUAAUUCUAUUUUUCGACAAACGAUAGUGUUAGUAGGUUAAAUUGUUAGUUGUUAUGAGAGAAGGAGAUCGUUCUAGAGAUCAAACUCUCAUAAAAAUAUAUGAUGAUUUCUGCAAAUGCGAUCAGCAGUUGCAUAUUACAAUAUACAGCUUCAGUUGGCAUCAGUUUCUUAAUGAGUGGCAUGUGAAUUCUUAAUUUAAUUUCGGAAAGAAAUGCGUUUAAAUUUGGUGGUAUGUGAUGAAGUUAGCAUUCUGUUUUUUAUUAUAUACUGGUGAUGGACAUUUUUAGCAUAUUGGAUUUAUCAUUUUCUAUAAAAUGAAGCUUCAUUCUCACUAUGUUGUUGAUGUUUUUUGUGAUUUCAGUUUAUAGUGCUUCUAAAUGCUGUUUUAAUUUAGGAAUUUGAAUAAUUGUUUAAAUGGGAUUGGAGGGUGAUAAAUAUUUCUAGCUAGGGAAAGGUCACAUCCAUGUGUUGGUCGAAUUGAUGGAUGUAAAAAAUGAAUAUGGAUGAACGUCUAGCUACUGCAUGUAGAUUCAGCUUUCCUUUGCAUUUGAGUGAGUUGGAAACCGAGUGGAACAGUUUGAGAGAGAGAGGGAGGGAGGGAGGGAGAGAGAGAGAGAGGACGAUGUUGGGAUUUUGGUAAAGAUUUGAGCUUUAGUUGUAAGCAUGCUGAUAUGAGCUCACAGUAAAACCCAACAGUAUGUAGAUUGAAUUGAGUUGGGAACUGAGUGGAAAAAUAUUAGAGAGGAUUGUGUUUUCUGAUGCGUCUUUGAGCCACUGACCAUAGGUGGAGUCUUAUACUGCAAUAUUAUGUGCUAAUCUAAUAAACCCUGCAACUUAUUCAUCUUUGUCAUGAGUAAUUUUUGGUUUUUUUCAUUGGAAUAGGGAUUUAGUGGAUGGUUGUUUUUAACGCAUAUUAGUUAAAAUGAGUUGAGUAUUGGGUGCUAAUCCCAUGUCUGCAAAUCACAGUACCCUAAGGAAGAAACACUGUCUGCACGAUCUAUAAUACCUGUUCAAGCAAGAAUCUUUUCCCAAACUAAAAAGCUUACAUAUCAAAACGUGUAAAGGAUGUGCCACUAUCAUCUUACUUUUUCAAUACCUAAACCAUGCAGUGAUGCAUGGGCUGGAUAUUGCUCCUUUCAAGUUUCAAAUCAUCAAAUGCUAAAGGUUUCUAGAUAAAUCAUCAUAGAAGUCGAUUCUGCAGAUUCCUUCUUAGUUACACUCAGAUGAUAAUGUAUUUAUAGUCCUUGACAUGUUUUUAAAGUUUGCAUUUUCAAUGUAUAUAUCAUUAACUAAGCUUUAUCAGCAGAAUAUCAUCGCAAAUUUGUUACGGAAAAUGCUAUUGCUAGAUUCUGAUUUAUCUACUUUAGUUUUAAGGAUUACACAUUGUUUUACGAUAUAAAAUAGAUGUUCUGCCUUGAUUUGAUGCGGGGGUAUGCAUUAGCUAACAUUAAUUCUGUUUAGUAUUUCUCAAAUUCAUUUUGGGUUAAAAAGUUGGAGCUUUGGAUUGGGUUUUUUCUUUAUUCAGCUAUCAUUUUCUGCUUAGGAGACUCUCUUAAACUGUCUGAAACUGUGCUCAUUAGGCUGGGCAGAGCACUGACAAGCUAAAAACAAAACAAAAACAAGCAGAAUUAUCACAUGUAGUGCAGGAUGUUGAAUGUCUUUUCCUCAUUGCAAAUCCUAAACGACCCAAAUCUGGAUGGUAAAAUACUUCGAGUUGGAAUUAAUAGGAUCGAUUGAAACAUGGAUUUUUUUUAUUAGAUUGGUAUAUCUGACUUAAUUAAGAAGUAGUUUAAGACAGUCAUUAGGGAAUUUCUGUAAUUGAACGUAGUUGUUUUCAUGAGGUUGAUAAAUACAAUAAGGUGCUUCUAUACCAAUAAGUGAUUUUAUACGGACACAUUGUAUGAUGUAAAAUGGUAAAAGGAGUACCCAUUCCUGUCCAGUCUUAUGUUUUCCGAGUCUUGCUUAUUUUUCAUUAGUCAUAUGAAAGAUGCUGCAAUACCGUGGGAUCAUAAUAGCUAAGAAACUGGACUUGGACAUCUUUAUUCUAUAGAGCGUUUGUAAAAGUAAUUUAGACUUUAUUAAGUUUAUAUUAAUCCUUCACUUCUGUUCAUUCAUUGUAAUUUCUAUUUGGUUUGUCUGCAUUUGUCUUAGGAGACUCUGUGGGGCUGCUUAAAUUUUAUAUAUUCAAUUGCAUAGAGUCGGCAUGACAUGCACAGAGAUUGUCAGAUUGCCACCCUUAGUUGGUGAUAUUAUCUUUACAACACAUUCAAAUUGAGGAUUUAGAAAAUCUAAUAAUAAAAUUGAAAUAUAUGUUCGAUGCUUUUUGUUUUCAUUUUCGGUUAAAAGGUUUCAGCUUUGGAUUGGUAUUUACCUUUAUUAAUCUAUAAUUUUGUGCUCAGGACACCAUCUUGGGGGUCUUAAUAUGAUUGUUCUUCUAUUUCAUAGACUCAAAACGUGUUUAGUGUCUCAUUUAAUUGGUGUACCUUUGCUCAUUUAACUCAAAUUUAAUACGAUUUGGUCCUCCAAUUUCUCUAAAUUGCUAACGGAUUUAUUUUCUUUGGAAAUUUCAGGAACUCUGGUUGUGGUAGGAACAAGCCGGCUCCUUGCUAUUUUUAGGUAUAUGAUUAUGUGCCUUGAUUGCAUGUUCAAAGUCUAAUUAGUUAUAUAAACUUUUAAUUUAUCUUUGCAAAGCUUUUGUACUUGGAUUUUAGAUAUGUGAUUGGUUUUUGAAAAAUUAAUGAGAAGGCUAAUCAUGGGGACAUUCUUAUUUCUGAAAUUUUCUCUUCAGCAUUGUUUCUUGAAUAAAUUUGGAUUGGUAGAUGUAGGGGUAGAGCAACACCCGUGGUGUAAAUAAAAGGUAUAGGCGUAAUGAUUUCUAGGUUUAGAAUUCAUUCAAAAAUAUGAUAUAAUGCUGCGUUCUCUAAUUUUUUUUUUUUGCUGUUUGCUGUUCUAAACUUUUGAACUCCUUUUUGGAUUGAUCUUUGUUAUUUUGUUUUUGGGGGUAUCUGAUAGGUCAAGGUUGCCUAAUCUUGGUUGUACUUUUUCCCAAGACAUGGCACAUUUGAAACUUUGAAUUCUUGAGUUUAUAUUUUAAUUCUCAUUAGUUAAUGCGUAAUAUUUGGCCUUUUAUUUUGAGAUUAGAAUGAAUACGUUUGGCCUGAAAGACAGUAAACUGAAUUAAAAGCUGGCUUAUUUUCCAUUGGCCAUCAAUUAGGGUGAGAAAACAUUGAAUUGAGAUCCUUAAACAGCGCUCAUAUAGGGUACUAUACCAAAUGAGCUCGAAGAGGACUCAGCAAUUGAAGAACAAUUGAUGGGCAUACACCUUGGACAUGAUUAAGUUAGUUGAACAUUAUACUAUAACAAGUACAUAUUUCUGCUAAAGGACCAUACCAAAUAAGGAGUCAGGUUCACACACAGACACGCACACACACAUCUGAUGUAAAGUUAUUCUAUUAGAUGGUUUCCAGAUUGACCCCCCCUUGCUAAAUCUAUUUCAAGGCUGGAAGGAGAGUUAAAACAUAUGUUAUUGUCUUAUAUGUUUGUAUUUGAAUGGUAACGAUGUUGUUCUUCUGGUGGAAAAAUUUUCCUUUGAAUCCAUUUCAGCUUAGGCUCUACUUUUUUAUUUCAUUUCAACGUCAUUUUCAUGUUCAUCAUGCCCUGUUGGUAUGUGUUUUGUGUUGGCAUUGGAGGGUGGUGGGUUGUCGUUUUGUUUUUCUUUUCUUUGAUUGUAAGACCUUCUAACGAUUGAAUUUAUUUUAUGCGACUCAUUUUGAUCCCCUAGUUUGAGUUUUUCAGUUACGUAUCAAUACUUAACUGCUGGAUUUUUCUUAAGGAAAUUGGAUAUAGGCUAUAUACUAUGUGCAAAAUUCAUGGAGAUCAAGUUUUUGUUGGGUUUUUGACUCAAAAUUAGGAUGAUGCAAUAAAUUAGGUUUGUGUUACCUAUUUGGUUUUGGUGUCCUAUUUGGGUUUGGUUUUGACUUCUUAGUUAGUUUCCUUGGUGGAGAGAUUUUGUUAAUUACCUAUUUGAUUAGGAUUUGGAUUUAUUUCCUAUUAGGAUUCAUAUUGUAACCUAAGUCCUAUGCACUAUAAAUAGGACCUUAGGGUUAGUGUAUUUAGUGUGGCUCAUUCGUGUGGCAAUUUGGUGAGAGUCAAGUUUCAGGCCCUAGGAAGUGGGAGGAAAGCUAAAGCUUUGUGGGGUUGUCUGGUCUCGGCAGUUUUUUGGAACAUUUGGCUGGAGCGUAACAAAAGAAUUUUUGAGGAUUAUACAGGUGUGGGGGUAGAAGUACUUUGGGGAAGAGUAAAAUAUUGGGCAGCCCUUUGGGCUUCAGUCUCAAAUGUUUUUAAUAAUUACUCUAUUUCUCAAUUACUGUGGGAUUUGUUAGCAGCAGUAAAGUGAGUUAGGUCUAGCUAAUGUUGCUGUAGCCAAAUCCUAGUGAGAGUUUUUUCUUGUUUCUUGUUAAUGGUGGAUUUCUUAUCCACUCCAGUGUAUUUCUCUUUUCUUCUAUAAAAUGUUUUGUUUCUUCUCAAAAAAAAAAUUUGUGAGUUUGUGAGUUAGAGAGCAAUUUGGGAGAAUCUUCUCCGUUAGUUUUGGGUUCUCUACUCGUUUGGUUUAGGGUUUGUAAUUUGUGGGAUUUGGGUUGUGAGAGUUUAAACACUCUUUUGUAAGCUCCAUUUGUUUAGUGAAAUUCCUCGCCGUGCUUUGCUCGUGGACGUAGACUUUACACCGAACCACGUAAAUCUCUUGUGUUAGUUUGAGAUUGUUUGUUUUAGCUUUCACCUACGACGUUGAUAUUGGUACUUUGUUAGAAUUCGCUUCCGUUUGUGCAUAAAAGUACAACAGUUUUGUGCUUUCAUUUGUCACAACGCAGUUUUUUGUUUUCAUAAAUGAAGUUUUGUGCUUUCAUUUUAUUUAUUUUAUUUUGUCUUUCAGUCAGUUUUUCGUUUGAAAGAACUCUUAAUUUUCAUGGAAAUAUAGUUAUUUGUGAAUAUGGAAACUUGAUACUGUGUAGACAUCAGAGUUCGUAUGUUUGUGAUAUGAAAUUUAAAUACAAGCUUCCCAAUUUGUUUUUGGAAUUUUAACUAAACUCGCGUUAUAGGUAGAUCAUGUAUUAAGAUAACAAAAAAGAUAGGUAGAUUUGUGUAUGCGAUGAGUUGUAGUGAACAUUUGGCAGUAAUAGAAAUGGUUUAGGUGUGCUCAGUUUUGGCCUAAAUGGUUAUCACACGAGCGUAAAUGUUUGUUUCAUUUGUGAUUGAACUUGAAUUCGUUGGAAAGCUUUUCAAUUUAUGAAUAUGGAAAGCUUUUCGUCUUUACUUUUAAACUUAUUUUCUGUUUGGUUGUUGAGAAGGUGAUGGAAAUAUAGUUAUCUGUUAAUAUGGAAACUUGAAUCUGUGUAGACUCCUUGGGUUGUCUGUUGGGUUCAGUGGAGGUUUAGUGUUUUAAUUUUGAAUGAUUUGUUUUUCGUUUCAUGGAAAUGACCUAUUAUUUGAUAUUAUUUGAUUUAACUGAGUAAUUUAAUGGAAGUAUAUUCUCUUUUUUUCUUUUCCAUAUUUCAUUUUGUCAGCAACCAAACGAGUUAAGGAACUGUAAUCUUUUUAAUUACUCUGCUAUCUCCGUGAGUUAUGAAUAUCAGACUUUUUGUUUUAUUUCUAUAUAUGUAGUUCCGAAGGAAUCAAGUGCCAAAAUUAGAAUAAAUAUCCUUUAGUCACGUUACACACUUUUCCAUAGAAUGUUUGGUUCAGGGAUCCCUUAUACAAGCACAAUAUUCUUAUGUAUUUAAAUCAUAGUUGACUGUCAUGGUUUAAUAAGUGUGAAAACUGUCUUAACUAUACCAUUGGAGCGUUACAGUUUUAGUUAUUUUAUUGGAUCCGUUUGUUAGCACUUUGAAUUCUUUUGAUUUCUUACUCUGAAUCUCACUCAUUUUUUGCAGUUUAGAUUGGACUCUCAUCAUAGCAUUGUAAUAUGAUCUUGCUGCUGCGAUUAAUCUGACAGUUCUGAGGCGUUGCAUUUGAAUCAAGACUUUGGUAUGUUAGCUGAACUUCAAUGCAUUCUUUUCCCAUUCUUUCUGUUUGAGGCAGCGCAACUUUAUGAUUUUUUUAUUGAUUGUUUGGGUUGAUCGUCUUAUGUUAUCCAUUUGCUUUGUGCUUUGUUUUUCAUUCUUGGUUGUCUCUGUGAUCGUCUCAUUGUCCAGAUGUUGGAUGGUUUUUUAUUUUAUUUUUUUAUUCUAAUUUUGUUUGAAGGUCCGUGCUAUCUCUGUGAUUCUGGUUUAACCCAGUGCUCUUAAUUCUUUAUCGGAUGUUGUUGGCCAUUUUAUCUCUUUUAUUAGUGGGAAAAGGCUUUGUUGUUGUUGUAUUCUGUUAUUGGUUGGUUGGUGUUUUCGUUUGGUUUUCUGAUAGUGAACUAUCUCAUCCUCCCCAAAGUGUUUUAACAUGUUUUGUUGAUAACUGCGCUCUCUAAACGACCUAGAUAUUUUUUUAGAAAAAUCACGACUUCCAUAUUUAAGAAAAUGAGUGGCUUUUUAGCAAAUGCAUGAAUGCAGCUAGAUGUUCAGAAAAAUUCACGGAUAUUUACAUUCAAACCACAAGUAUCAUUAACUUAUAAAUAAUUAAGUUAUGUAUUUUCUUUAUCGGCCAUCACUUCAAAAUUUGAAUUAAAACACUGUCAAAAUGCUUUUUGAUUGUGUUUUCUUUAUUCAUUAUGUAAGUUUGGCAAAUCUUCUACAUGCUGCAUAUUUUUUUGUUUGAACAUCUAUGGUUGACGAGUUACCUGCUCAAACACCACUUUUUCUGUGUUUUGCUAACUGCUAAGUGAGGCAUGUAGGUUGCAGAGCAUAUAUUUGGCCGUCUUAACUAUGUGUAAACUGCAGCUUCCUUCUGUUUCUUCAGUUUCAUAUGGAAACAGGCCUUCUGUUUUUUUGGCCUUUGAACAAUUGUGGUUCCAAAAUUAGCUACUUGAACAAGUCCUCAACACUUUCUGUUUUACAUUACCUGUUGAACUAGCUGCCUACACUGCAGGACACAUGUUAUUUGUGAACUAAAUGUUUCUUCUGUUUCUUAAGUAAACAGAAAUUUUUUGGAAACCAUCUCUUUCUAAUCAAACACGUACAAUUUCUUCCCACUCAUUGUGCAUUGUGUUUAUAUGCCAACUCACUUAAAUAUGUAUAAAAGCAAAAUUGCUUAUCUUACCGGCCUCAUUCACUCAUGUAUCCCUCUGUUUGUUUGUAAUUGUGUUGAAUUUAUUCAACUUAAAUGUGUUUUAUCCAUCUGAUUAUGUCUGAAACAGUGGUUCCCGCAGCAACGCGCGGGCGUAUUUUCUAGUUUUUAACUAAAUUUUGCAAACUAAAUGACAUGAUUGUUGAUGAGUGGAUUAUUAUUUUAGUGUUGAUAAACAUGCUUAUUUUCUAAGGAAAACUAAUGAAAAGGGCUUGAAAACUUUGCGUUUUAACAAUAAGGACAAAAUAAAGGGUAAAGUGAAUAGUAUCAUGAUUGACUUUUUAGUGUAAAAAUAUGGUUUUUCGUUAAAGUGAACAGUACCAGGAGCUUUUCAUUAACGUUCCCUAUUAUCUAGUGGUGACACAUCAUUUAGUUUAAAAUUUUAUUCUCCUUGGCAUUACCCAUUUGUAUAUGAUUGCGGAAUCAAUAAUUAGUUCUCACCAUUUGAAUUUGUGCAGUUGUGACAACAGAUCAAGCUUCCAAAUUUCCAAGGAACUAGUCUUUGACUGUUGAUCUUCCCUUCAUUGAGUCUGUAUUUGUUGAUCACAAGCGGAGUCAGAUUUGAACUUCCAUGUAAGUUCUUAUUAUUCAACUGAAUAAUACAUUAGUUGUUUCUCAUUUUAUUUGAACUACUUUUUAUUCAUUUGUUUCUUCACUUAAUUUGUGCAGCUCUGCACCUCAAUAUUGCUCAAGAGCGGUUCAGUCUUUCUUUGAUUGCUUGGAGUAAUCCUCGCUCUUAAUAUGGUACUGGGAGAGGUUUUUCUUGGGGCGUUUCUACAGGUGCUGCUAGACAGGUUGACCCCUCGCGAGGUUCUCAACUACUUUGGAAACUUCCGGGGCCUUAGAAAGAAGCUGGAGAAGUGGAGGGCCACGUUAUCUACAAUCGCAGCGGUGUUGAGCGACGCUGAGGAAAGACAAGUGACUGACCAUCCUGUAAAACUGUUGCUUGAUGAUCUCAGAGACCUCGCUUAUGAUGUCGAAGACAUGUUGGACGAAUUUUCCACUCAAAUGUUGAAGCGCACAAUAGAGGGACGUGAUCAAGCUAGCACGAGCAACAAGGUGCGGAACUCAUUUUUCAAAAUUAAAUUCAAUUGGGAUAUGAGCUCCGAAAUGAAGAAGAUUACGGAGCGGUUGCAAGACAUAUCUGAACGGAAAGAUAAGUUUGGCUUGAAAGAUACUGGGACGUCUGCUAAGGAAUCGCGACGUCUACCUAGUUCAGACGUGUUAGAUGAAAAGCUUGUUGUUGGAAGAGAUGGUGACAAAGGGAAGAUUAUUGAAUUGUUGUCAAGAAAAUACGAGCAUGCAGGUGCUGUCAAUUUUGAUGUAGUUGCUAUAGUUGGCAUGGCCGGAGUUGGGAAGACGACACUUGCUCAACUUGUAUUCAACAACAAAGAUGAUGCCAUGAAGGAGUUUGAGCUCAAGGUCUGGGUAUCUGUGUCCGAUGACUUCGAUGUGGUGCGAGUGACAAAGGCAAUUCUUGAAUCAAUCACAUCCCGACCCGUUAAAGUGCAGGAGUUUAGUAAAAUGCAGCAUAAUUUGAGUGAGCAAUUAAGAGGAAAAAAGUUUUUAAUCGUUUUAGAUGAUAUUUGGAACAAAGGCGACUAUGAUCUAUACGAUCUCUGGACAAGACUUCAAUCCCCUUUUGGCGUCGGAGCAGGAGGAAGUAAGAUAAUUGUGACAACCCGUGACAGGAAUGUUGCAAAGACUACGGGAGCCGCUGGAGUUCAUAAUUUGGAGUGUAUGGCAGAUGGUGAUUGUUUGGAAAUAUUUGAGCGACAUGCGUUCGGGGAAAUUAAUAAUGGAAAGCCGGUAAAUUAUGAUUUAAUUGGGACAAAAAUUGUUGAAACAUGUCAUGGAUUACCAUUAGCUGCGAGGACUCUCGGUGGUCUUCUACGUUGCAAAGAAAAAGAUGAGUGGGGAGAAAUAUUGAACAACAAGUUAUGGAAUCCAGCAGAUAAGAGUGGCAUUCUCCCCGUACUAAAGUUGAGCUAUCACUAUCUUCCAUCACAUUUGAAGAGGUGUUUUGCCUAUUGCUCCAUUCUUCCAAAUGACUAUGAAUUUGGGG
rnacentral:lncRNA from 1 species